CCGUGGCCGGGAUGGAAUUAGGCAUCUGGAAGCACUUGCCUUGCAAUUUGGUCUAUCGGUAUCCCUUGUGCAAUAUAUUUCUAAUUUCAAUGUGGGUUCAGAGAAGUUUCACAGUUUUUUCUUCGUGAAGUUAGUCUGUCUGUUAGUGUCUUGAUUUUGUGAAUGUGAAACAUGUGAGACUACAAAAUACUUAAAUUUCUAUGUUUCAUGUAUCUGCAAAUGCUGCUGGGGUGAACAAACAUUGGAAAAGGGAUGUAAAACAGUAGCACUUGAAAUUUGGACUUUCCGAGCAAAUGAAUUCAGAGCAAAGUUUUACUUUCUAGCCUAUUGCUCAAUCAGGAAGUGUACACGUCCAUGCUAUUCAUGUGACAUCACAUGUUUGUAGCGAUGGAAUGUAAAAAACAAAAAAAAAACACUUUUUUAGGUCGAUUGGCCGUGAAAGGAUCUAAUUGGCCUAGAGGUGGGGUGAAUAGGCGUAUCUAAAAACCUGAAACUCAAAAACUCAAGUUGCGGAAGUCAAAUGCCUGUCAGUACCACCGAUAGUUUGGGCCGGUACUACUGGUGUCACACAGCCAGUACUACCGACGCAAACUGCUGGUACUACCGACUCCCUAAGAUAGCUACAAAAUCAGAGUGUAAAGGGCUUAGAUUUCAGAUCUGAGUGUUACCCCACUUUCCUAAGUGUAGGAGAGGAUGUUGUUGGAGUCUCCUUAGCUUAGUCCUUCUCCACAACGUAGAUCGACCUUCGUUACCUGUUGAAAAGUGAAAGAAAGAGAGAGGAACACAAAGAACACAAACAAGGGAAGUUACCUCCACAGCAAGACAAGGUAUUUUUCCCGAGGUUCGGCAAUCUCCACUUAGGAGUACCUACGUCCCCUUUGUUGAGGUGACCACGAAGGUUUGACCACUUAGGUCUCCUCCUCAAGCAACCACAAAGGUUAGCUUGAUGUUUCCACUAAGAAUCAAGGGGUAAUACAAACACUUCGGGGUGCCCUCACAAAUGGAACAACACGGGCAACCACGAAGAACGCCUAGCCGGCUAGGGUUCCAAGAACCCAAGAGUAACAAAUACAAACCAAACCGGCAAGACGAGGAACGGAGUGCUCAAGUCACAGAUCGAAGCUCCCAACUCUCUAAUCUCACUUCUCUAGCUCGAAUCUCUCAAGAAAUGAAGUCUAGGAGCAAGAGGGAGAGAGAGUGGGUGAGCCAAAGCUUGGAGACUGUUUUCUCAGAUGUGGGGUAGCUAGAAUGAGCAAGCCAACGGUUAGAAAAGAGGAGAGAGCUAUUUAUACUAGAGUACAGAACACUGGCCGGUACUACCGGUGCAACCACCGGUACCACCGGCGUUCCCAGAUCUAAACGUGAGAAAGCCGAGAAAGAUGCGAGAAAAAGGCCUACCGGUACCACCGGUGGAAGGCCGGUACCAUCGGCAGUGCAAAAUCUCGCAAAACAGCAGUUCUGCGAGAAUUUGGCCUGCCGGUACUACCGGCGUUUCACCGGUACCACCGGUCAAAGCCCGGUACUACCGGUAGUUCAUUUUCUCGCAAAACUCAGGAGUAGAGCAGGCACUGCCGGUACCACCGGCCCUGAGGGCCGGUACUACCGGUUCACCCUGGCAGAGAACAAACUUCCCAGAAGUUUAUGCGAGCAAGUGUGUCUCUCAAGCGCAAAACCUAAGUUGACCUAAGCACAUUUAUCCUCAUCUUACCAACUCAAUUUGCAUCCCUCUUGAUAGUGUGGCGUUUCCUAUAACUCAAACAAGAAAUAAAACUAGGUAGCUUCUUGAGUUGAAACGUCGCUUAAAUGAAGAAAUUUUAGGGGUGCUGUGAUUCACCAAAUGUGUUUUUUUGAUUCCAUCAAUGAACUAACACCUGUAGAUUACACUUGAUAGACAUGUUAGUUCCUAAUUUGAUUGUCAUUAAUUAUCAAAACCCACACCGGGGGCGAAUGCACUUAAAAACUCCCCCUUUUUGGUAAUUGAUGACAACCAACUUAGGCUUAUAAAAGAUUGAAAGAGGUAGAGCUUUUGAAUUCCAAAAAUUAGGUUGGGCUCCCCCUUAAUGUAUGCAUUGGAUUUGGAAUUUCAAAUCUUGAUUAAUAUCAAGAUGGCAUACAUUAUGAUCAAGCUCCCCCUAAAUUUUGCAAUCCGUGGGGUGCCUAAAAGAGUGUGUGUGUGACAAGAAAUAAACCGUGAUGCGUAUGACAGGAUAUAUCACAAAGAGUAAAAGAAGAAUUUGAAUGAUUAUGCAAGAACUAAAGAGCUCACAAUAACCAUUCAAAAACAACAUUGCACCAACAAAAGUCUAAAGAAGCUAACACAAGCAAGAUAUAACGAGGAAUAAAAGUGUUUAGCUUACAGUCAACCAUCACACAACGUAGUUCUUGUUCACCACACAUAGUUCACCACUUAGAAAGGUUUAAGACGGGCACCAACAACUAAUCUUAUUACAUCAAAGAUAAGCCUAACACUCCCCUUUGGCAGCAAGUGCCAAAAAGGGUAGGCUGCGAGUAAGAGCUAGAAGGACUACUCGUCAUCAUUAUCAAGGUCGUUGUCGUCGUCGCUGUAGUCGAUGAAGGUACACAGCGGCCCCUUACCAUGAGGAUCAGCGGAGGUGGACUGCUCGUGAGGGGGUGCGGUAGAGACAGAGGCCCUAGUGACAUCAUCCGCAGCUCCAAAGAUAUCCUGUUAAGCAAAGCCGGCCUCGGUGUCCUCCAUGGAGAAGCCAGGAGGAAUCCCACCACCAUAGAAUGGAUCAAAGGUAGAGGGUGGUGGAGGAUCCUGCUGCUCCUCAUCCUCAUCAGCAGAAGUCCGAUGCAAGUUGUCAUAUUCAGCAUAGGGGUCCUGGAACUCACGAAGAGGAGAGGACGGAGGAAGAGCUGCCUUCUCCUCAAGACGACGGAGACGCUGAUUGGUCUUCUUCUGGCUAUAGCAAAAGUAGGAGAAGAACCGCUGCAGCGCAUGACGGGUAGGACUGCGGCGACCACGACCGCUGUCCUGAGGAGGGAUAGCUUCCCCUUGAGCACCAGCAGCACCAGCAGGAGUGGCAACACUAGGGGUAGCAGCACCAGGAGUAGCAGCACCAGCAGGACUGAGAGGAGGAGCAUGAGGAGCACCCAAGUGCUUGGCACGAACCGGAGCAUGAAUGCAUGGGUGCGAGAACUGCAUGCCAGCAACUUGCUCAAUAAUAUGAAUCAGAUAUGGAGCAUAGGGCAAGUACUUGUUAGGAUCCACGGACGUAUCAACAAUCUUGUUCCACAUGAAAUCCGAGACACCAAAGCGGCCACCAUUAGCACCAAAACGAGCCAAUAUCUUAGGAGCAUCUUGACGAAGGUGAAUGGAAUCUCCAAACAUGGGGUCAAUGGUGUAGCGGAUCAGGUUGUUCAGCACAUAGAAGUAAGGCUUCAGCUGAGUGGUCUUGAAAUCCGGAUGGGCUCCUGGCUUGUACAUUUCAGCAGCAUCAAGAUCAGCCUCAGAAAUCUCCUCAGCAAAGAUGGUAGACAGCCGGGGUGCAUCUCGAUCCAUAUGAUCAAAACCAAGCAAGCGAGAGAAGGUGAUAAAGUCAAGGCGAUAGUGAACACCUUGAGUCAUCCAAUGCAGCACCCUAGAGGCUUGAUCCACCCACAAUGUUGCCCAAAACUGAAAGAUGAUCUCCUCAUUCCAAUUAUUCUCAAGGGUCAUAAGAGGAAGGAUGCGCCAUUCUUCAAGCUUUUGAAUCAAAGCAUUGACCUCAGGGUGAUUGAAUUCUUGCAAAGACUUGAGGACCACAUACUUGUGCUGAAAAAGUGGACCAUUCUUGGUGACUUUGCUGGCCUUGUAGAGGACGGACUCAUAAAAGUCAUUUUGAAACUGAGACCAAAACUGCUCCUCAACGCCCUCAAACUUGAUGAACUUGUACGGGUUCUCGCUGCGCUGAUUUCUCAAGUCCACAAGGUGCUUCUUGUAGUCAAUACCAAGCCGGGGUAGAGUGCCAGAUGGAAUAGAGGGCCUCCGGACAUGGGCAUUAAACUAAGGAUGCCACGAGAGAGUCCGGCGAGCACCAACCUCACUGAGAUGCAGAGGCGAGCGACGAAGGACAUUGGGGUCUAUGGCUCGGCCUUCCUCUUGUACAGGAUCAGGCACGGCUUGGCUUUGAACUCUGGCCUGGUGAGAGAGGGGCGGACACGGGACGGAAUGGGUGUGAAGAGGGGCAGGAAUGCCCUCAUCGCCGGUGGAAGCACCAGCCGCACCCUGACCACGGGAAGGGGUCCCACGGCCAUGCACUGCCCGGUCCGCAGACCGACCACCGGCAUCACUAGAGCGAGGACGAGCACCACGGGGAGGGUUCUUGCGCUUGCCGGAAUCCAUGCUGCAACACCACAAAGAGGGGCAGCAAGAGAAAGUUACAAGACCAUACUAGAAUGCAGCAAGAGAUCGAUCAAGGCGAUGGGAGGAACUGCCUUGCUCACAGAGGCCGGUACCACCGGCCCUAGGGCCGGUACCACCGGCGGCACUGUGGAGCAAUGGAAUCACCUCCAAUCGACCAAAUCGACCAAGGGAAAAGCGCAUAAAGCAUUCUAGAGGCAAGAACACACUAAGAUAAGGAAAGGAGUGCGAGGAAACGGCCUAAAAUUUGGUACAUUGGGAGAUCGAUCAACUUUAAAAUGUACCUUGCGUCACGGAGAAAAGUGGCCGAAUCCAAGCAAACCCAUGGGUCUUGGAGUCAACCAAGAGCCUCCACGCGUCCCUCAUGGCCGGGGCAAGGUCCUCCUCAAAGAUCGGGCGAAGAAGAUGGAGGAGGCGAGAGAUCGGGGCAAGGGAAGCGCCGCCGCCGCCGGGAGAAGAGACGAGAGGAAGGGUCGGGCGGGUGGGAAGAGAUAAGAGAGAGAGAAUAACCACGGGCGGCUUAAAUACCGCAGUAAAAAGCACUGCCGGUACUACCGGCUUCAAGGGCCGGUACCAUCGGUGGGCCAGAGACCAGCGAGUGGGGUUCUGCGGGAUUUUGGCCUACCGGUGCUACCGGGCUUCGGUCGGUACCACCGGUUGGAGCUGGUACCACCGGGGCUAGGCGCCGGUACCACCGGCAGGGCAGGAAAACAGCGCAAAGGUGAACUUAGUGUGGCAAACUGAGAAACAAAUCAUUCAUGGCCAGAUUUCAUCAAAUCAUUACAAAACAAUGGCCAUGCUUGAGAUGUGAAAGAUAGAUUUUGAAAGAGCACUAGAUUUUUCACAAAGAUUUGUCCUUUCUAGUCAAACAAGUAUGUGCAAGACAUCAAGCCAUGUUACAAGAAUCAACGAUAUUUAGUUCACACCUCAAAGCACAAAAUCUUGACUCAUCUAGAGGUUUAGUGAAGAUAUCGGCUAACUGGAAUUCGGUUCUCACAUGUUGCACAGCGAUAUCUCCUUUGGAUUGGUGGUCUCUCAGGAAGUGAUGGCGAAUGUCUAUGUGCUUUGUUCUAGAGUGGUUUACAGGGUUAUCAGCUAGCUUGAUUGCCCCCUCAUUGUCACACAAGAGGGGAAUCUUGCUUUGCUCACAACCAAAGUCUCUCAAGGUUUGCUUCAUCCAAAGUAGUUGGGCACAGCAAGCGCCUGCCGCCACAUACUCGGCUUCAGCGGUGGAAAGGGCAAUGGAGUUUUGUUUCUUAGAACUCCAGGACACCAAAGACCUACCAAGGAAUUGGCAAGUCCCUGAUGUACUCUUUUACUCUACCCUGCAACCGGCAUAGUCCGAAUCGGAGUAGCCAAGUAAAGUGAAAGUGGAGCCCUUUGGGUACCACAACCCAAGAUUAGGAGUGAACACAAGAUAUCGAAAGAUUCUCUUAACAGCCAUAAGAUGGCAUUCUUUCGGACUAGCUUGAAAUCUUGCACACAUGCACACACUAAGCAUAAUAUCAGGCCUAGAUGCACAAAGGUAAAGCAAAGAUCCAAUCAUGGAGCCAUAUACCUUUUGAUCAAUGGCCUUGCCGUCUCCAUCAAGGUCAAGAUGUCCGGUUGUUGGCAUUGGUGUCUUUAUGGGUUUGGCCUUGUCCAUGUCAAACUUCUUAAGCAUGUCGGUGGUGUACUUGGUUUGACUUAUGAACGUGCCGUCCUUGAGUUGCUUGAUUUGAAAUCCAAGGAAGUACUUCAACUCCCCCAUCAUGGACAUCUCGAACCUUUUGGUCAUGAUCCUACUAAAUUCCUCACUAAAGUCCGCAUUAGUACUACCAAAUAUAAUGUCAUCGACAUAUAUUUGGCAUAUAAAAAUAUCAUUAUUGACUUUGUGAGUAAAUAAAGUGGGAUCGGCUUUUCCAAUCUCAAACCCUUGUUUGAGUAGGAAAUCCUUGAGACAAUCAUACCAAGCUCUAGGGGCUUGCUUAAGCCCAUAGAGUGCCUUAUCCAGCUUGUAGACAUGAUCGGGAUGAUGUGGAUCUUCAAAACCCGGUGGUUGCUCCACAUACACAGUUUCGGAGAGGGGGCCAUUGAGGAAUGCACUUUUCACGUCCAUUUGAAACAACUUGAAAUCAUGGUGAGCAGCAAAGGCAAGUAAUAUACGAAUAGAUUCAAGCCUAGCUACAGGUGCAUAGGUUUCCCCAAAAUCCAAACCUUCGAUUUGAGUGAAAUCUUUGGCAACCAACCGAGCCUUGUUCCUAGUGACCACGCCAUACUCAUCUUCUUUGUUGCGGAAGACCCAUUUGGUACCUAUCAUGUUUUGCUUGGGUCUUUCCACCAAGGACCAGACUUCAUUCCUAGUGAAGUUGUUCAACUCUUCUUGCAUAGCCAUCACCCAAUCCGGAUCCGCCAAGGCAUCUUCCACCCUAUUUGGCAACAUAGAGGAGACAAAAGAGUAAUGUUCACAAAAACCAACUAAACAAGAGCGUGUUGUUACCCCUCAUUGUAUGUCUCCCAAAAUGCUAUCAAUGGGAUGAUCCCGUUGAAUAGAGUGAUGGACUCUUGGGUGAGGCACUGUUGUUCUUGUUUGAAUGGGACCAUCAUCUUUGUCUUCAUGGUCUUGGUUGAUUUGAGAGUCUAGAUCUUGAAUGUUUUGAUCUCCAUCCUGGUUUGGUUCUUGUGCUUGAGGUGAGUCUUGUCCAGCGUGUUCCUUGAGUCAUGACCUCUUCUUGAUGUGGAAGCAUCAUCAUGGGCAUUGGUUGACCCAUGAUGCAAGCUUGGGUCACGAGAAAUCUGCAAGUUUCCAUCAUCUUCUUCUUCUUCAACAGGUUUCACUUCACCGGUAGCAAGCUUUUUGAUUACCUGGCGAGAUGGCUCUUCUUUACCUAAAAUUUCAGCAUUGACUUGCUCCUUUUGAGAGCCGUCGCUUUCAUCAAAAGUCACGUCUACCGCUAUUUUAAUUUGACCGGUGGUCUCAUUGAAAACACGAUAGCCAUGUUGAUUAGUAGCAUAACCAAGUAAGAACCCUUCAUCAACCUUUGGUGCGAACUUAGAGCUUUUGGAUCUUUUAUUAAGUAUGAAACACUUGCAUCCAAAAACUCUAAAGUAAUCCACCUUAGGCUUUUUACCGGUUAGAAGCUCGUAGGCAGUUUUCUUCCUCAGCUUGUGAAGAUAUAGGCGGUUGAUGGCGUGACAUGCCGUGUUAACGGCUUCCGCCCAAUAAUCCUUUUUGGAGAUCUUGUAUUCAUCCAACAUUGCUCUUGCGGCUUCAAUGAGUGUUCAGUUUUUUCUUUCCACCACACCAUUUUGUUGUGGAGUAUAUGCAACCGAGAACUCAUGCUUGAUGCCUUCUUCAUCAAGGUAUGCUUCAAUGUUGGUGUUUCUAAAUUCAGUCCCGUUGUCGCUUCUCACUUUCUUGAUCUUCACUUCAAACUCAUUUUGAGCCCUUCUUGCAAACUUCUUGAAGAUCCCUUGAGUCUCACUCUUAUCCUUCAAAAAGAAUACCAAAGUGAAGCGAGAAAAAUCAUCAACAAUUACAAAACCAUAUUUGUUACCUCCAAUGCUUAUGUAAGCAUUGGGUCCGAAUAAAUCCAUGUGAAGGAGCUCAAGUGGUCUUGAUGUAGUCACAAUGUUCUUCGCGGGAUGCUUAGCUCCAACUUGUUUUCCCGCUUGACAUGCACUGUAAAUUCUAUCUUUCUCAAAAGAAACAUUCGUUAGUCCAAGGAUGUGUUCACCUCUUUGAAGAUCGGCCAAGUUCCUCAUCCCAACAUGGGCUAGACGGCGAUGCCACAGCCAGCCCAUGCUAGAUUUUGCCACUAAAUAGGUCUCGGACCCCACUCUACUAGCUGAAAAAUCAACUAGAUAGAGCUUGCCCUUUAGUUGACCCAUAAAAGCAAUAGAGGAAUCCGACCUUCUAGAGACUUCCACACCCUUAUCCGUAAAGAGACAAUUGUAACCCUUCUCAUAAAGUUGUGAGACGGAUAACAAAUUGUAUCCCAACGAAUCCACAAGCAAAACAUUCGAAAUGGAAUUAUCAUUUCAAAUUGCAAUUUUACCUAAACCAAGGAUAUCUCCCUUACUAUUAUCACCAAACACAAUCCUUUCACUUGUGGUUUGAUUUGGUUGAAAGGAGGUGAACAUGUUCUUCUCUCCGGUCAUGUGAUUUGUGCAUCCACUAUCGAGCACCCAACUUGGCCCACCGGAAGAACAAACCUACAAGAUAAGAUUAAGCCUUUGUUUUAGGUCCCGAGUUGGAACCUAGGGAGUUAGACACAUAAGAUUUGGGCACCCAAACACUCCUCAAGAUUUGUCUCUUCUUGAGGGCGCCCACAUACUUCACAACAAUCUUGCCAUCCUUAUCCCAACAACACAUGUAAUCACAAAUAUGAUUGCGUGAGAUAGGCGCUUGUUGCUUGGGCAUCUCCCCUUGCUUCUUCUUGAUGUUCUUGUUGCUUGCAAGUGGGAUCGUAGGAGUGGCAACAUUGUUCACUUUGUCAAUGAGGUCAACGAGGGGCACACUCUUGUUGAACUUCACACAAGCCACCCCAUUUAUCAUGUUUCUUCCAUUGGCCUUACCAUUAUACCUGUUGUACCCAAGGCCAUCCUUGAUUAUGGGGUGCCUUGAUGCCUUGAACACAUUUGCUGGUUGCUUGUCCUUGCACUUGCAACCAAUCUUGACAAUUGUGUUUAAUCUUUGGAUCUCCUUGUCCUUCUUUGCUAGCUCAACACGGUUAAUGAGACAUGUAUUUAUGUCAACAUUUAUGCAUCUUUCACAGCUUUUACUUGUAGAAGCCUUUGAAUCCUUGGAAGCGGUAGAGGUGCUAGACCAAAGCUUAUCAUAGUUUAGUUCAAGCUCAUGAUAUUUUGUUGUCAAGCUUGUGAGGCUUUCUUGAGCCAAACUAUGAUCAUUCUUUAGGCUAGCCAAAGAUCCAUUGAGUGAGGAAUGUUCCUUAGUCAAUCGCUCAUUGGAGUCUUUGACUAGAGACAAUUCUACACCCAAUUUCUCAACCCUCUCCUUUUCCUUGGAGAGACAUACUUUGAGCCCUUGGUUCUUCUCCCUUUCCUCUAGGAGCAAUUCGCCUUGCGACUCGAUGCAUGACUCAAGCUUGUCAUUGGUGUAUAUUAGCUUUAGAAUUUUAGUCACUAUCAUAGUUUUCAUCAUCUUCAUUAUCACUAUCAUAGUCACUAGUGGUUUGAGGAGAGGAGUCAGUUUGUACCUUGUCUCCUUUAGCCAUAAGACAUGUAGGAGUGUCAUUAUCGUCAUCGGAGAGAUUGGCGAAGAGCCUAGGCGAUGAGUGGGUGUCGGAAAUAAGUGCUGUGGAUGAGGCAACGUUGGUGAAGAUAUUGUUUGGGGUGGAUCUUUCCUGUACGGUGAUGGCAGCUACACUCUUCUUCUCAUUGUCAUCAUCAUCACUGUCACUGUCCGAUUGCCAUUCUUGCCCGAGGUGAGCUUCCCCUUUCUUCUUGUCCUUGUAUUUCUUGUCAUUUUGUUUGGUGUACCUUGACUUCUUUUCUUUAUUGGGACAAUCUGCUGCAAGAUGGCCGGUGUCACCACACUCAUAGCAGAACCUCUUUCUAUAUGGCUUGUUUCCUCCAUAUCUCCUCAUCUUAUCCUUCUUCAUUCUUAAAUAGUUCUUGUAGUUUCCCACUAGCAUAGCUUGUUCUUCAUCGAGAUCAUCAUCAUCUCUGUGCUUAUGCUCACAACACCCUUUGUUGCUGUGAGUGCUAUGUUCUUUCUUUGAUUUAGGGCUUCUUUGGCUUCAUCAUCCAAGACUUCAUGAUGCAUCAACUUUGCUAGCAUUUCUUGAGGAGUCAUAGUAUGAUAGUUGUCUUUCUCCAUGAUGAUGGAUGCAAGCAUGUUGUUUCUUUGUCUAUACACUCUACAAAUCUUUCUUGCUGCAGAGUUAUCAUCCCAUGUUGUUGCUCCAAGUGCUCUAAUUUGAUUGAUCAAUGACAUAAACCUAUCAAACAUGGCUUUUGUUGUUUCUCCCUCAAGUAUGCAAAAGUUUUCAAUCUUGCUUUGUAAGAGCUCAAUGUUUCCUACUCUUACACUUUUGUCUCCCUCAAAUGACACUUUCAAGGUGUCCCAAAUCUGCUUAGCAUUUACCAUACCAUUUACUUUGUUGUUGUCCUCCGGAGUAAGACACUGCAAAAUCAAGGUGGCAGCUGUUGCAUUGAGGUGAAAGUCUCUCUCAUCUUCGGAAGUCCACUCAUUUGGAUUUUGCGGUGGAUUCACUCCAAUGUCCACUACUUCCCAGCAUCUUGCGGCAAUGAGAUGCAACUUCAUUCUAUGAGCCCAAUCAGUGUACCUUAUACCAUCAAAUGGAGGUGGCUUUCCAGGAUUGAUCAUUGGCAAUGUUGGAUUCUUGCUUGAGCUGCUGUAAUCAAACCCAGUGUUGUUAUAGGUCUUUGACCCUUUGCUAGCAUCUUCAUUUCCACCUUCACUAUCCGACUCAUGAUUCCUUUUACUUAGGAGUUCUUUCAUCUUGUCUAGCUCUUCUUGCAUCUUCUUCAUCUGCUCUUUCUGCUGCAGCUGCAAGGAUGCCGUGAUCUGUGCUGUGAUUUGCUCAACGAUUUGUUUUUGAGUUGUUGGAUCCAUCUUGGCCAAUAUUGCUCCUCACGCGGUGAAGCGUUUGUACGAGGAACCUUGCUUUGAUACCAAUUGAAAGGAUCUAAUUGGCCUAGAGGGGGGGUGAAUAGGCGUAUCUAAAAACCUGAAACUCAAAAACUCAAGUUGCGGAAGUCAAAUGCCUGUCGAUACCACCGAUAGUUUGGGCCGGUACUACUAGUGUCGCACAGCCAGUACUACCGACGCAAACUGCUGGUACUACCGACUCCCUAAGAUAGCUACGAAAUCAGAGUGUAAAGGGCUUAGAUUUCAGAUCUGAGUGUUACCCCACUUUCCUAAGCGUAGGAGAGGAUGUUGUUGGAGUCUCCUUAGCUUAGUCCUUCUCCACAACGUAGAUCGACCUUCGUUACCUGUUGAAAAGUGAAAGAAAGAGAGAGGAACACAAAGAACACAAACAAGGGUAGUCGAAGCUACCUCCACAGCAAGACAAGGUAUUUUUCCUGAGGUUCGGCAAUCUCCACUUAGGAGUACCUACGUCCCCGUUGUUGAGGUGACCACAAAGGUCUGACCACUUAGGUCUCCUCCUCAAGCAACCACAAAGGUUAGCUUGAUGUUUCCACUAAGAAUCAAGGGGUAAUACAAACACUUCGGGGUGCCCUCACAAAUGGCACAACACGGGCAACCACGAAGAACGCCUAGCCGGCUAGGGUUCCAAGAACCCAAGAGUAACAAAUACAAACCAAAACGGCAAGACGAGGAACAGAGUGCUCAAGUCACAGAUCGAAGCUCCCAACUCUCUAAUCUCACUUCUCUAGCUCGAAUCUCUCAAGAAAUGAAGUCUAGGAGCAAGAGGGAGAGAGAGUGGGUGAGCCAAAGCUUGGAGACUGUUUUCUCAGAUGUGGGGUAGCUAGAAUGAGCAAGCCAAUGGUUAGAAAAGAGGAGAGAGCUAUUUAUACUAGAGUACAGAACACUGGCCGGUACUACCGGUGCAACCACCGGUACCACCGGCGUCCCCAGAUCUAAACGUGAGAAAGCCGAGAAAGAUGCGAGAAAAAGGCCUACCGGUACUACCGGCCUUGGGCCGGUACCACCGGCCAGCGCCGGUACCACCGGUGGAAGGCCGGUACCACCGGCAGUGCAAAAUCUCGCAAAACAGCAGUUCUGCGAGAAUUUGGCCUGCCGGUACUACCGGCGUUUCACCGGUACCACCGGCGGUAGCCGGUACCACCGUUCAAAGCCCGGUACUACCGGUAGUUCAUUUUCUCGCAAAACUCAGGAGUAGAGCAGGCACUGCCGGUACCACCGGCCCUGAGGGCCGGUACUACCGGUUCACCCUGGCAGAGAACAAACUUCCCAGAAGUUUGUGCGAGCAAGUGUGUCUCUCAAGCGCAAAACCUAAGUUGACCUGAGCACCUUUAUCCUCAUCUUACCAACUCAAUUUGCAUCCCUCUUGAUAGUGCGGUGUUUCCUAUAACUCAAACAAGAAAUAAAACUAGGUAGCUUCUUGAGUUGAAACGUCGCUUAAAUGAAGAAAUUUUGGGGGUGCUGUGAUUCACCAAAUGUGUUUGUUUGAUUCCAUCAAUGAACUAACACUUGUAGAUUACACUUGAUAGACAUGUUAGUUCCUAAUUUGAUUGUCAUUAAUUAUCAAAACCCACACCGGGGGCGAAUGCACUACAGGCCGAGUGCCCUGAGGGAAGACACUUGGCAAAGAAUUUCGGAAAAAAUUAUUUUCCUUGCCGAGUGCCCUGCGAGAGGCACUUGGCAAAGACUUUUCUAAAAAAAACUUUGGCGAGUGUCUUGCUGGAAGGUACUCGCCAAAGAUUUUUUCUUAAAAAAAUAUUUUCUUUGCCAAGAGCCCUACUGGAGACACUCGGCAAAGAUUUAAAUAAAAAAUUAUUUUCUUUGCAGAGUGCUCUGUUAGAGGCACUCGGCAAAUUAAAAAAAACAAAAUUAUUUUAUUUGCUAAGUGCCCUAGGGAGGCGCUCGGCAAAGACUUUUCCAAAAAAAAAUCUUUGCCGAGUGCCUUGCUAGAAUGCACUCGGCAAAGCCACUGUUAAAGUCGGUUCCGCCGUGACGGUGCCUUUCUUUACUGAGUGCCUGACAAAUGGUACUUGGCAAAGAGGUCUUUGCCGAUAAAUUUUUUCCUAAGUGGUCUUUGCCGAGUGCAAUUGGGCCUUUGCCGAGUGCCUGGGACACUAGGCAAAGACCCAGUAUCCAGUAGUCACAUUUAUUUGCCUUGUUUUGGUUAGGAAAUUGGAGGUAGCUUGGAUUCCUAAUUCUAUUAAUACAGUGUAAAUAAGAAACAGAAUAACUUAGAUGAAGCCCGAUGAUACCUUCUUGAGUAACUAAUGUUUCUUCUUGAAAAAAAAAGGUAUUCAUUUCCUCUUGUUGUUCCUAUUCAUCUUUGAUUAAAAAAUGGUAGAUCUAUGUACUGAAGUUUGAUUAUAUGGUGUAUCACAUGGAUUAAUGGUAUCAGUUCACUGUGCUUAUUUAUUUGGAAUUUUUUUGUAUUAACAAAUCAAGGAACACAUGUUGCCCUUGCUUUGCCUCAUGUAAUAUAGAUGAAUAAGAUUGCUAUUUUAGUAGAUUUGUACUUUCAGUAUGAUAGUGAUUGUUACUAACAACACUAAUUUAAUUUGGACCUAAAUGCCGUCUUUCUUUCAGGUAUACUAUAUGAAGGGUAAAGAUGGUGGACUAGAGGGAGGUGCGAAUAGUCCUCUAUAAAACUUAUUAUGCCAGUUAAUCGAAACAAAUAUAGAAUUUAAACUAUUGGUCUAGCCAAGACUACACCCCUCUAUCUAAGUUCUUUAGCAUGUUGUUCUAAAUAAGCAAACAAUGUGACUAACAAGAGCUCACCUAACUAAUUCUAGGAGUAAGGUCACACAAACCUAUGCCACUAGUACUUUGCACACCGAGGGAGCUCCUACACAAUUAGUAAGCAAAAGCACAAAGCUCCUAAGCUCACUAGCAAUGCUCAAUAACAAGACAACCAAUGCUAAAUUAGAGAGCGCAAAUUACUUAGCUAUACAAACUAAACAAUGUGACUAACAAGGUUACACAAACUAAGUUAGUCACACAAGGGAAACUACUUCUAGCUACACAAGCAAGAAGGUAACUAGCAAGGUAAACUAAUUAUAAGAGCAACUACACAAGAACAAUGUAUAUAAAGUAAAUACAAGCUUGUGUAUGGUACACAACCACCGAGAAGAGUAGACAAUGUUGACAUGGUGAUUUUUUAUCGAGGUUCACUUGGUUGCCACAAAGCUAAGUCCUUGUUGCUACAAGCUCCAAGGUUGACGUCGGUCCUCUUGCUAGUGGUGACCUGCAAGUCAUACUCUCCCAUGUGGAGUGCUUAACAUAAGAUCUAGUAUUUGACCUGGCCAGACCACUUGUUUCCCUUUGCGUCUCACUCUACUAGAGUUGCUCUUGCGACCCCAACGGGGUGAGCACCGUACCCCUCACAAUAUCUUCUUCGAAGCACCGCACAAUCUCCUUGCGUGCUUCGACGGAGUCACAAGCCACCAAGUCGUCUAGAAGGUGGCAACCUCUAAGAGUAACAGGCACCACUAGCAUGCAACACGAACACCUAGUGUCACUCGAUGCAAUCUCCCAAUUCAACCGCACUAGAAUCACUCACUCACACAAUUGGAUGGUCAUCAUCAAGAAUGUGUGAGUUAGAGGGCAUCCAAGCACGCCUGCACAAGCCACCAAGGUGUCAGGGUGCUCAGCAACCAGCCCAAGGAGCGACAGGAGCGACAGACACUCCAACGCCUUGGCAUCGGACACGCCUCCCCAGCAUCUGACACUCACAGCGCUGCCACGUGUCGCUCACCGUUUAAACCUAACUGUUGCCGCUAACGGCUAACUUGCACACGAGCCUCACAAAGUCACACAGGACGCUCCAACGCAAGUCAUCAAACGCCAGCACCUCACAUCAAACACUACUAAGAGAGUUCCUAAACUUGGUUACUCGCCAUCGGACGUGUCCAACGGGUGAUCAUGGGACACACCCUAGUGCCCGACGUGUACACCUCAUGAAAUCCUCAUAAAUGUCGUGUAUGUCGAAGGCACUAAUGCAUGAGCGUCGGUUGCACCAACGACCCAUAGUGACGCGCACAGUUCAGCAACACUGCAUCGGACAUAGAUCCAGUGUCUGACGUUGCUGACCAUAGUGUCUGACACGUCCUCCGGCAUAGUGGAAAAGAGGUAUUCUGUAAUGUCCCCUCUUCACAAGGCCAGAGCCGCUUACAUGUGGAAGCUUUUGUAGGACAUAGACUGUUCUCACUGACUAACACUAGUCUGUUCUGUAUACUUUGUCCUUACUUGUGCGCACCCGAGAAUAAUUUCCUGGUCGGUCACCCACCCCUAAAUUUCUCUAGGCCAAGCACGCUUAAAUGCUUAACUUUAGAGUUCUUUGGAGAUAUGCUUCUGGAAAAAAGAUACAACUUGUUAGUAUGAGUAUCCUAUUAAUCCUAUUAAGGCAUGGGUCGGGAUGUUACACCCUCACCCCCUUAAGAGACCGAUGUCCUCGUCGAUCAACCCCAAGCUAGGAACGACCCCCCUUAGCCACGUCUGUGUGUCUAGUGCCAGCGCAUGUGCCAUGCUGUGUCACCACUCUAGAUCCACACUAGCCUUGUGCACCAUUCCUGCGCAACUGCGACAUACGCACCAGUGAAACCAUGAGGGUCGGCUCUGAUACUAUUCUGUAACGUCCUGUCUUCAUAGGGUUAGGCGCGCUUACAUGUGAAAACUUUUGUAGGGCAUAGAAUGUCCUCACAAUCCAACACUAGUCUUUAUGCACACUUUGUCCUCACUCGUAUGCACCCGGUAAGAACUUCCUGGUCGGUCAUCCAUCUCUAAAUUUCUCUAGGCCAAGCACGCUUAACUUUAGAUUUCUUUAGAGAUAGGCUUCGAGAAAAGAAAUUACAACUUGUUGGUUUGAGUAUCCUAUUUACCCUGUUAAGCCCUUGGUCAGGAUGUUACAUAUUUUAUUUCCACAAAAACACUAGAUCCUACAUUGCAAGCUCGGCGGGAGGGAGAGACGAUCCCCAACCCCUCUCUACCCCUUGAACUCCACCUCCUUCGCAAAUGUGCUAACACCACCAAGUAUAAACCACCAUGUGCAUAUGUGUUAGCAUUUUCUCAAAUAUUUUUUCAAAGGAGUUAGCCUCUCAAACUUGCCACGCCACUCGAUCCUAACACAUAUGCAAAGCUAGAUCAUUUAAGCGGUACUAGAUGACCUAUAUGCAAACAAGUUUGCUUCUAUUGAUAGUAAGGCUAUCUAUCCUAAAUUUGGUUAUCAACUUUUCUACACACUUAUGACCGGUAAAAUGGAAAUGCCCUAGGUUAUAGCUUUGCCUUGCGCAUUCCAUUCCAACUCCUCCGAUGUUGAUGCAACAUAUGCACCAACCAAUCACAAAUGAUAUGAUUCACUUUAUAUCAUCACUUGAUCGUAUUGGUUCAUCGAUCUUGACCUCACUUUGCUCUUCACCAUUGCCUCAGUCCAUCGGCGCCAAGUCUUGCUCAAGCUUCAUUGUCGGUCCCUUGCUUCAAAGUCUCUGACUUGCCCUUCACACUUACAACCGGUCUGUCGAGCCAAGCAUCAUCUUGAUCUUCUCUACCUUGGUCACAUGACUCCAUGUCAUGUCUCAUAUGCAAUAAGCUCCUCUAUCAUCACAUACACCUGUGGACUAAUCUUCUAUGUUUCUCACAUAAACACUAUUAGUUCACAUAAGUUGUCACUCAAUUACCAAAACCAAACAAAGACUUUUCACUGUGCCAAAGUUGCAGUGGCAAAUCACCAUGGAAGAGCAUCCAAUAUUGCUAAAUAGAUGCAUCCGUACAUAUUUAUGCUCUAUGAGUGUUCCACUGGACACUUUUGUUCCAUGCGAGUGGAGAGGCUCGUGCUACCAUUCGUCAUGGACUCGGUAGUUGGUAGAGACCUGGAGAAGUGGACAACGGAAUCGUGAGAAUUUAGGAUUGAUUACAGACCAAAGUUAGAGACAAAUACUAUAAUAGGAUUAUUAAAUGCAUAAACUCUAUAUUACUAAUUGUCUGGUGUACGUACGGAAGCUGGAAUACUUCAUGCUGGGGGAGUCAUGCAAGUGGAAUGGAAACUCAGUAUGGGUUCCUGACGCUUCUCAAGCUUAGAUAUGUCUUUAUAAAUAACAUGUCUCAAUGCAUUUUGCUUCAUCUUUUCCCAGCUUAUUAAAGCCUCCUACAUAACGUGCAGUGCCUUGGCUUGUGGAAUCGUAGCUAUCCUAAAACUAAACUAUUGAUGCUUCAGCUUGUACAUUGCAUUUUAUAGUCAUGGCUGCAUGGCUGGCCCAUAUGUCAAUUAUAAUUGGUACUAUACAGGUAUGAAAGUAAAGAGAGUGAACUAAUGAUAAUUAAUUCAAAACAUUAACUCUGACAUGAGGGAGCACAUGCUCAAUCAACAGUCAUGCUAUUGCACAUCCAUUUGUCCAUUCGCGAUCUAAAUUGAACACACUGCUGUGCUGCCCAUUUUGUCGGUGAAGUGAAGUAGUAGGCAGUAUAUGAUACCUGAAACUUAUUCAAUUUCAUGAUUCUUUCAGAGCAUGGCACACUUUUCUGAGAGCGAACACAAAGUUAUCGUCACAGAAAAUUUUGUUGUUGAAUUAGCUCUGUCCUAAGAACUAUGUUCGUUCAAGUUGCUGUGGAAUUGAAUAACCCAGGGAGCUGACGAUCAUAGUAAUGAGAGGCAUUGCUGGAAAAAUAGCAGCAACGCCUUAAGGUCUACUCGAUCACCUGCGCUUUUGAAGCAGCUGCAGGAGCAGACGCCUCAGCGCUGCUGCGGCACAGUUUUGGCCAGGCCAUUUAGAAGUUUAACGAGUAGCACUCUGGGCUGCUGGCGAAGUCAGCACACAAGGAUGGGUUGCGAAUUUUUUUUAAAUAAAUGAAUGUAGAUUUAGGGGCUACUUUUAAUAAAUUGCAAACUUAGCACCGUGUGAGCCAGACCAAUUGGCCCUUCAGUAGCUGAUGAUUAGUUGACAUUGGUAGGCGAGCAGAUGGGGACGGCAGUUCUGACUGCUGAGCCCUAAUCGGAGCCAAUAAGUCAAAAGCUAGCCGUCUGCACUGGCAGAACAAGGAGGGGGCUACCAGGGUCCAUGGAACCCCCUAACGUCCGAAAACUCUUUGAAGCCUUGUUUAGUUCACGGAAUUUUUUGAGUUUGGCUACUGUAGCACUUUCGUUUAUAUUUGGUAAUUAUUAUCCAACCAUAGACUAACUAGGCUGAAAAGAUUUGUCGCGUAAAUUACAGAUAAACCGUGCAAUGAAUUAUUUUUCAUUUAUAUUUAAUGCUCCAUAUAUAUGUCUAAAGAUUUGAUAUGAUGGAAAUCUUGAAAAAAAUUUUAAAACUAAACGAGGCCUGAAUAGCCCUGCUGCCGCAAUUGCAGCUGUAACUGUUUUCAUGUGGAGUUAUUGGAGGUUUUGUCACCAUGCCAUACUUUGGUCUCAGCCCCUCAGUUUGUUCUAUGGUUCCGCAAUUCCGUCGGAUUGGGCCAAUUGGCUCCUCCUACCACUAUGAGAAUCUGGCUCUUUGCCGAGUGCCAAAAAAAUAAACACUCGGCAAAAAAACACUAGGCAAAGAGGGUGCUUUGCUGAAUGUCAAAAAAACACUCGGCAAAAAAAGUCGUCUUUGCUGAGUGUUUUUUUGACACUCGGCAAAGAACACAAUUUGCCAAGUGUUUUUUUACGCUCAGCAAAGAAAAUUUCAAAUAAAAUUUUGAAGCCCUAAAUAAAUUCAAAUCAAAAAGUUUUGAACUACAAAGUUGUAUAACUUCUCAAGAUCUAUAAUCUUUUCAUAAAUUUGAUAAAGUGAAAAUAAUUUUUUCAUAAAUUUUUCAUCUCUCUUUUAGUUCUAGGACCAGGAACUAUAAUAGAGAUAUAUAAGAUUUGUGAAAAAUGUUAGAAUUAUUGUGUCACAUGAACAAAUGACCAAACAACACAAAUAACCUUUGUAGAUCUUGACAAGUUAUAAAAUUUUAUAGUUGAAAUUGUUUUCAUUUGAGUUUGUCUUGUCAUUUAAAAAUGAGUCUUUGAAAAUUUUUUAAAUUUAUUUUGAAAUUACCUUGGAUGGAAAAACUCCCUAAAUAAACUUUGUAAAUCUCAAAAAGUUAUGAAACUCUUUAGUUGAUAACUUGUUGAUUUGAAAUCAUCUUGUCAUGCAAAAUUACAUCUUUAUUCAAAAAUUUUUAAAUUUGAUUUUCUCAAAUUAUCGCGGAUGAAAAAACUCCCUAAAUAAACUUUGUAGGUCCCGAAAAGUUAUGAAACUUUGUAGUUGAUAACUUUUUAUUCGAAAUCAUCUUGUCAUGAAAAAAACUAUUUUUGAAUUUCUCAAAUUAGAAAUUCAAAUUUUGUAAAUGACCUCGGAUACAGAAACUCUCUAAAUGAAAAUUUUAGAUCUCGAAGAGUUCUAAAACUUUGUAGUUGUCAACUUUUUAAAUUGAAAUCGUUUAGAGGCUCAAAUAAUCAAUUUACAUGUCAUUUGGUAUAAUAUAUGAGGAAUAGAAACGCAAUAUUGUAACACCCAAAAAUUUACAACUUUUGCAAUAGGAGAAAAAUGAUUUAAUUUUGUAUUUUGUGCUCAUGAAAAUAUAGGAAAAAUAAUAUUUUUAGUCAAUUAAAAUCAAUCAUAGGGUGUAGCAACAUUUUUGUGCACUCAUGCUUAUGCAUUUUAUUUAUUGUGCUGAGUGGUUUUACUAAAGUUCAAAAGUAAUUCAAAGUGAUUUUAAAACGAAUUUGAAAAUGGCUUUGGAAUAAAAGAAAGGAAAAGAAAACAAACAAACAAAAUCUACCUCUCCCUCUCUCUAAUUCUGGCCCAACCGGCUCCCCCUUCUUUCCCCCCCCCUUCCCCCCGUGGCCCAUCCUCUCUCGGCCCGUUAGCCAGCCCAGCAGGCAGCAGGCGCGCCACCCUUCCUUGUUCCCUCUUCUCUCGCUGACGCCGGGGCCCGCCUGGCAGUGACCCCUGGCUUUCUUCUCCUUCGCGUAACCGAGCCGGACAUCGGCAGAGGGCCACCGAGCGUGCCAAUCCCAUCUCGGCCGGGAUUUGUUGCCAAUUUUUGCGCUUAAGACACCCUAUAAAGCCCCGAGAUCUUCUCCACAUCCCCUCUUCCCACCCGCGAGGCUCGAGAGCACGGAUUGCGGCCCUUGUCGCGAUUUCGGAUCUCGCCGAGAGGCAAGGAAAGCCGCCGCCGUGAAACUCUUCCUCGGCCGUCGUGUUUCCAAAUUCAAGAGCUUGACAAGCUUCGGAUCGAGGUUACGAAGAUGCCCAGCCCCUUCUCAUGCUCUCUACUGCGUUCUAUCACUCUCACCGCGCUGUCGAACUCGUGCAGGGAGCCACCAGCCGCCAUUCUCCAUCGACGGACCUCUCCGAGCCAUCCACGAACGCGAAAAGUGUUUGGGUGAAUUCAUGUUUCCUUUCUCGUCGUUCCCGUGCUUUUGUUUCAUUGAAUCGUGCAUCAAAUCGCCUUUUCACCGAGCUCCGGCGAGGCUCCGGCAAUGGCGCCGCCGCGCUGCCCCUGUAGCCGGCCGGCGACCUCCCUCUCUCCCCCUAGGAUCUAAUCAGGGCCGUUGAAACGCGAUCCAACGGCUAAGAUUAGCCCGUACCCCUUCGGCCGACGUUUUUGCUAAAGAGCCCCAGGAAAAGCUAAGGUUCAACCCACAGUCCAUAGCGUAAAGUUAAAAAGGCGCCUUGCUGUUUCAAACGCGUACUCUGUGCCGGUUUAGUCAAAAAUACGUUUUCAGUAAUUACCAAAUUGCCACUGGAUUUGUUUUACUCAUAAAAUAUUCAUCUUGACUCCGUUUUGACCAAUUCAAAUUUCGUUAGAUUCGUAUUUUCGAGCUCUACAUGUUAGAAGUAUUUAUUCUCUGUUUUGAAACUUUUUAUUUUCGCAGUAGCAUUUAAUUAAUUAUUUAUCUAUAGGAAAUCUUAGAAAAUUCAUAUCUUCUAUGUUUUAAUUCUGAUUUUCGUGAACUUUACGUUUGUGUGAUCGUAGCGCUGCGUAGAAUAUUUUGAUAAACUUUUAUGUUUAUUUUACCACUGUUUGGUGUAUUGUUCUAAUUAUAGCUUGUUUGCUUCGUGUAUGAUUGUCUACAUUGAAUUGCGUGUUGUUGAUUGAUAAUCAGGAUAGACGGUGAGCCGUACGUUGUUGAUCAGGACCAAGCUUUUAAAGACCAGCAGGCUCAGAAGAGUUUUGAUCAAGGCAAGUAUAACUUGGAAUCAUCCUUGUUACCUAUACACAAUUAAUAUAAUAUAUAUCAUAUGCAUGUGUCCACCUUGAUGACCUUAGCAAAAUCAUAGAUGAUUGUUAUCCUGGAUUCCUUGUUACCUAUUUUGGAUAUGCAUUUGGUAGUUCUUGCUAGUGCUUGAAUACAAUCCAUGAUCAUGUAACAUGAAUGUUUGGAUAUACAAUAAACAAUAAAAUAAGCUUUAUAGCAACUUGAACAUAAAAGGGUGGAAAGAACUCUGGUUUUUGCUGGAUUGAUCUUGACCCUCCGUAAGGACUUAUCCCUUGGCAAAAGCUGGGACAACUCGUACAACCAUGAGGGCUAUAUGGCUCUGGCUUUAGUCAAGUAUGAAUAACUUUUGUAGCUUGUUAGAGGUUACCCGAAGGGCGGAGGGGCUGAACCUUUUUGGGUAUAGUGCGAGCCCCUGUCCUUAUGUGUAUAGGCUGCGCGUCAUUGUGCCAUUCGGAAGGGGGGCAUCUAUAUCUGCGCGCAAAGGAAACUUUGCGGCCCUAACUUGUAAGACGAACCUUUGAAAGACUUCAUAGUGAACCCUGUCGGCUUUCCUUAGAAGUGAGCUAAGAGGUCGACGGGCCUCAGGCGAAAGGGUAAAUCAUGACUCAUGGGUAAAGAUGUACAACCUCUGCAGAGUGUUAAAUCUGGUAUACUAGUCGUGCCCACGGAUACGGGCGGCCCAGAAAACUGACUGAAUAGAUGGACACUGAUGAACAUGACUAAUCAUGAUAAAUGAUGGUUUAUUAUGUUGUUUAUAUGUGUUAUUCUUGAUUCUCGUAUACAUUGAUCAUGUGGUUAUCGGAUUUAAUAUGCUACCUUGAUAUUGCUAUCCAAUGAUUAAAUAUGCUAUUCACGUAUAAAAGCUAAAUACAGUCAAACCAGAGUCAGCUUAUUGAGCCUCAUGAACCCCUGGUUAUACUUGUUGAGUACGAUAUGUGCUCACUCUUGCAAUUUCCCCCACACCUCAGGAGAAGUUUUGGGCUUGUGAUCAACCAGUCAGUUGGAUCCUGUAGAGAGAAGUUAAUACCCGAAGGUUGGAGUUGUCUAUCCGCUGUUUGCUAUCAAAGGUUAUCUCUUUUAUACUAAGUACGUUAUAUAUUUAUGCAUUGUCUUUUGAUAUUACCCCUUAUUUGUAGCUAUAUGUGAGAUUUGGUCUCUCUAACUCACAUAUGGUGCAUAUCUGGUUUUGUCCUUGUGGGGGUAUAAACCCCUAUACCCUUACGGCUAGACUUCAGCCAGGAAGCUUGACCCACUACGAGACGAGUUCAAGGCUUGAUCCGACAAGCCGAGUUUCGCGCAAGGAAACAAGACGUGGAGAUCAAGCAGGAUUCUAGUCGGUUAGAAUAGGAAUUGAUAUCGAAUUAUCUAUGGCAAUUGUAACCGACUAGGAUUAGUUUCUAGAUCUGUAACCCUGCCCUCCAGACUAUAUAAGGAGGGGCAAGGGACCCCCCUAGGACAGGAUAUUCUCUCAACACAAUCCAAUACAACCAGACGCAGGACGUAGGUAUUACGCCAACUCGGCGGCCGAACCUGGAUAAAAAGCUUGUCCGUGUCUUGCGUCACCAUCGAGUUCGUAGUUUGCGCACCGUCUACCGAUAAACUACUACCGUGGGUAUACCCCAAGGUAGACUGCCGACUAGCUUUCGUCGACAGUGGCGCGCCAGGUAGGGGGUGUGCGUGCAACUUUUCCGGCGAACAAGAUGGUCACGAUCCCAGCUUCCGCGACCGUGCCCGAAGGCCUCACGUUCACCGUCGGCCAGAUCACGUGGACGACGUGCAGCGGCGGCUUCCCGACCACGGUUCCGAAAGAGAUCCAGAUCCAAUCUGAGAUCACGCCGUCUCCGACCACACGCAUGACGGCACCAAGCUCCCGACCACCGUUCCCACUCUACAAGGGAAAGGAGAUCGACUGCUCGGACCUCCUCCAAGCGCUCGAUCGCGCCGACUCCAAGCUGCUCGAAGUCUCCCAACUAAUAGAUGGAGUUCUGCGCCGGCCCGACCAAGCCACUCGAGCGGAUUUUUCGAAAUCCCGCCGGCCAACUCGUGUCACCACACACGAACGACUGGGAACGUCCCUGACGAUAACCUCAACCCCCUCAGGACGAUCCGUCGAGCUCAAAAAGGGAGACCAUCCUUGCGGCCUGAAUAACUCAGCCUCUGUUUACUCACAGCAUGUUCAAUCCGUUUUCAGCAAAGCGGGCUGGUCGCCGACAAGGAACAAUCGUCACCAUGUCAACAUGGUGACAAUCCGAGAGCUACGGGACGGCCAGGUUUCCAGCACCAACUCAAGCACCGGCUCCGUCCCCACCGAGGUUAUAAACACCGAAGACGAGGGCUACGACCUGGAUUUCCUUCACACCCUCCGGGUUUCGACCGAUUCCCGAUAUUCCCCCCCCGGCGAGGGGAUAUCGUGUUCAAUGUCAGCGCCGACGAGCCGGUCGUUGACGGAGAAACAGAUGACCAGAGGCAACUCCGCGAACAGCGUAACGCCGAUCACGCCCGACGGCGUGCGGACGAGCAACAACAGAUGCCACCAAGUAACCUCAACGAUGCCUUUGACAUGGUCGGGGACCAGCCGGUCUACAAAACGCCAAGCGCCAACGUGGCUGUCGCCAUGGCCAACCUGGAUCGGCUUCCUGACACCCCCGAAUGCCAGGGAGUCCGGACCAGUAUCCGAGCACACCUGAUCGCCGCAAUGGGACAGACAGCCACUCUGCUCAAGAGAGUCCACAACGUCUCUUAUACGGAAGCCGCCUCCGACCAGACUAAUCGCAGCCGGGCCUCACCCAGCAGGCGCCGCCGCAGCCGCUCCCCCGACAACCGUCGAGGGGACUCACGACGCGACGAUGGUGGUCGGGACGCCGAUGGCCGCCGCCAGCAGAACCGUGUACGCGGCCAAGAAGAAGAAGAUCAACACAGGGAUCUCCGCCACAACAUCCCCCCCAAAGAUGCCCGGGAUCGCAUCAACAGGCGCGCCGCAGAGAGAGCAGUCCACGAAAACCUGCGCCGCAUCGAGUACGACGCGACCCACGGUCCCCCGGGCCUAAGGCAGUUCUCCUCGCACCUCCGCCAGGUCGUGUGGCCCCGCAAUUUCAAGCUCGAAAAACUUAAAAAAUACGACGGCAAGGAAAAUCCAGAGAACUGGAUCACUCUUUAUGAAAUCGCCGUCCAAUCAGCGGCAGGAGAUGAGCACGUCAUGGCUAACUACUUCCCCGUAGUCCUCGACCAGGCUGGUCAUCAGUGGCUUCUCGGCUUGCCCGAGGACUCCUUCGAAUCUUGGGAAGAGCUACGACAGGCUUUCAUCGACAACUUCAUCGCCACAUGCGAGCAGCCCGGGAACAAGUAUGACCUUGAAAGGAUAAGAGACAAGAAGAAUGAACCUCUGCGCGAUUACAUCCGAUGAUUCUCGGAUAUGCGCCUCAAAAUCCCGAAGAUUUCUCACGACGAGGCCAUAUCAGCGUUUAUCAAGGGCUUGCGUUUCCAUGAAGCGCUGAGGAACAAGCUGCUGCGUAAACGCCCAUCAACGGUAGCAGAGCUCCUCGCCACGGCUAAAAACUACGCCGAUGCUGAUGACGCAGAAAAACUAAUCCGAGACGACGCGAGAGGCCCCGACCAGCCUUCUCGGCGGGAUGACGGUCGUGGUCGCUACGACAACAGAAAUCACCGCCGCUCCCCAACCGCGAUCACCGAGAGGGCUGGGAUCGGCGGCGCGACAGCCGCGACGACUUCAAAGGAAAGCGCCCUCGUGAAUACGACCACGAAGUAAAUACGGUCAAACGUCCCAACGGACGACGGGACUACCAAGACGACUACAACAAAACGUUGAAGGGACCGUGCCAGCUACACCCGAAGUCUAACCAUACCAUGGAAGAGUGUCGCGUCCUCAAAAGUAUCUAUACACGGCGGGCCGCCCAAGAGGACUCCGCCAAGAAAAAUAACAAACGCGACGGGCACGACCACGAAGAUGAGGAUGAGGACCAAGACAGGGACCCCCGACACCAAUACGUCAGCCCCAUCGACGUGGUCCACUCCAUUUUCGGGGGCAAGGUCUCCACUGAGUCCAAGCGAGAAAGAAAGCUGUUAAAGAGAGCCUGCCUCAACAUAGACAGCACGGACGGGCUGAUCGCAGAUCCAAAAUUUCCCGCGUGGUCCCACAGGGAGAUCUCGUUCAGCAGGAAGGACCAGUGGGCCGCUAUCCCAGAGCCGGGACGUUUCCCACUGAUUCUUGAUCCCUGCAUCAAUAGCAUCAGAUUCGAGCGCGUGCUCGCGGACGGGGGAAGCUCCAUCGACAUUCUCUUCCGCAACAGCCUGCCCGCCCUAAAGAUAUCACCGGCGCAACUAAAACCUUACGACGCCCAAUUCUGGGGGGUUUUGCCAGGUCAAAGUUCGGUGCCCCUCGGACAGAUAACAUUGCCCGUCCAAUUCGGCACACCCGAUCACUUCCGGACGGAGUUCAUCAACUUCGUAGUCGCGGACUUCGACGGGACCUACCACGCCAUACUGGGCCGCCCAUCGCUGACAAAGUUCAUGGCAGUCCCGCACUACUCAUACCUAGUGCUUAAGAUGCCCACGGAGAAGGGUGUCCUGACCGUCAGAGGCAACGUCUACACUGCGUACACCUGCGAAGAAGAAAGUUUCAAGAUCACCGAGGCAAUUGACCUCUCAAUCCGCAUGGCGGAAACAGCAAACCAAGCCGCACAGCUGCCCCCCGACCAGCUCCGAUUACCUGAGCAGGAGACAGCCAGAAAGAAUUCGAAAUCCAAGGAGUACAAAGAAGUGCAGCUGGUCGAAGGCAACCCCGAGAAGACAGCCCUCAUCGGGGCUAACCUGGAUCCAAAAUAGGAAGACGCGCUCGUCAGGUUUCUAAGGGACAACGUGAGCGUUUUCGCAUGGAAACCCGCAGACAUGCCCGGUGUCCCACGAAACCUGAUCGAGCACUCCUUAAACGUCUCGAAGACCGCAAGACCAAUCAAGCAAAAACUGCGACGGUUCGCUCGUGACAAAAAGGAGGCUAUUAGGACAGAAAUAACACGGCUUCUAGCAGCCGGAUUCAUAAAAGAGGUGUAUCAUCCCGAUUGGCUCGCCAAUCCGGUUCUUGUACGCAAAAAGAAUAAUGAAUGGAGAAUGUGCGUUGAUUACACCGAUCUCAACAAACACUGUCCUAAAGAUCCUUUUGGUCUUCCUCGCAUCGACGAGGUGGUCGACUCAACGGCCGGAUGCGAACUCCUCUCCUUUCUAGAUUGCUACUCUGGUUAUCACCAGAUCUCGUUAAAAGAAGAAGAUCAGAUCAAAACAUCCUUCAUCACACCCUUCGGCGCAUACUGUUACACUACCAUGUCUUUCGGACUUAAAAACGCCGGGGCCACUUAUCAAAGGGCCAUCCAGCAAUGCCUCCACGACGAGAUUCGCGAUGACCUCGUCGAGGCCUAUGUGGACGACGUGGUCGUAAAAACAAGGGACGCGAGCACCCUAAUCGACAACUUAGACCGAACCUUCAAGGCACUCAAUAGGUACAAGUGGAAGCUCAACCCCAAGAAAUGCAUUUUCGGCGUUCCUUCCGGUCUACUGCUCGGCAACGUCGUCAGUUGCGACGGCAUACGACCAAACCCUUCAAAAGUCAAAGCCGUACUCGACAUGCGACCACCGAAGAACGUCAAGGAUAUUCAGAAGCUAACCGGAUGUAUGGCCGCCCUCAGUCGUUUCAUCUCAAGGCUGGGAGAAAAAGGCCUCCCUUUCUUCAAACUAUUGAAAGCGUCAGAAAAAUUCUCCUGGACAGAAGAAGCCGACGCUGCGUUCACUCAGCUUAAGACCUUCCUCACUUCACCGCCUGUCCUCACAGCGCCUCAGCCCAAUGAAGACCUGCUCCUUUACAUUGCUGCAACCGACAGGGUUGUUUCCACGGCAAUAGUGGUCGAGCGAGAUGAACCAGGUCACGUCUUCAAGGUCCAGAGACCCGUUUACUUCAUAAGUGAAGUUUUAAACGAAUCCAAGGCCAGGUACCCACAAAUACAGAAGCUUAUAUACGCCAUCCUGAUAACGUCAAGAAAGCUGAAGCACUACUUCGACGGCCAUCGAGUCCUGGUGACAACCAGCUUUCCUCUCGGGGACAUCCUGCGCAAUAAAGACGCCAAUGGCAGAAUCGUGAAAUGGGCAAUGGAAUUAUGUCCAUUUUCCCUAGAGUUCCAGAGUCGCACAACUGUCAAGUCUCAAGCCCUGGUCGAUUUCAUUGCCGAAUGGACGGAUCUCAACGAGCCUUCCGUUCCAGAUGUCUCAGACCACUGGUCAAUGUUCUUUGAUGGGUCCUUGAACAUCAACGGUGCAGGCGCUGGGAUAUUGUUCGUAUCACCAAACAAGGACAAACUCCGCUACGUCCUUCGGAUCCUUUUUCCGGCGUCAAACAAUGUCGCCGAAUACGAAGCUUGUUUACAUGGCGUACGACUAGCCGUCGAACUGGGGAUCAAGCGCCUCUAUGUCUACGGCGACUCCGCUUUGGUCAUCAACCAGCUCAACAAGGAGUGGGACGCAACCCACGAGAAGAUGGAUCUCUACUGCAAAGAAAUUCGCAAAUGGGAAACUAACUUCUAUGGCAUAGAGUACAUCCACGUGGUCCGGGAUAAGAACCAAGCAGCAGAUGCGUUGUCAAAGUUAGGGUCGUCUCGGGCCCAAAUCCCGCGGGGUAUUUUCGUCCAGGACAUCCAUGAGCCGAGCGUAAGCUCCCCCCUGGUCGACAAGCAACCCACCGAGGCAAUGCUCAUAGAUGACGCCACUCCGACAACCGGUGGGCGUGACUGGCGUAUCCCGUUCAUCAAAUACAUCUCAGACGGGACAGGUUUUCAGGACAAAAUAGAGAACGAGCGUCUCAUCCGACGAUCAAAGAACUACAUCCUGGUCGACGGAAAACUCAUGCGGAAAAACGCAAGCUCCGAGGUACUGCUCAAGUGCAUACCCCAAGACGAUGGUAUCAAGCUCUUGGAGGACAUACACGCCGGAUCAAAGUUCCGAGCAGGUUUUUAUUGGCCAACCGCGGUCAGCGACGCAGAAAAACUGGUUCGGCAUUGCGAAGGAUGUCAGUUUUUCGCUAAGAGGACCCACGUACGUGCCCAUGAAAUUCAAACCAUCCCGUCGUCUUGGCCCUUUGCUUGCUGGGGGCUUGACAUGAUCGGACCAUUUAAACCAGCCCCGGGCAACUUCAAGUUUGUCUUCGUGUUAAUCGACAAGUUCUCCAAGUGGAUUGAAUACAUGCCCCUGGUCAAGGCAACCUCCGAGAAGGCUGUGGAGUUCCUCAAUCAAAUCAUACACAGAUUCGGCAUCCCGAACAGCAUAAUCACCGACCUGGGCACUCAGUUUACUGGCACCACUUUUUGGGAUUUCUGCGAUGACAGAGGCAUAGUCAUAAAAUAUGUGUCAGUGGCACAUCCACGUGCCAACGGUCAAGUUGAACGUGCUAACGGAAUGAUCGUCGACGCCCUAAAGAAAAGAUUGUACACCGAGAACGACAGAGCACCCGGUCGAUGGAUGAAAGAAUUGCCGGCAGUGGUCUGGGGCCUCCGAACUCAGACCAGUCGAAACACAGGGGUGUCUCCCUAUUUCAUGGUGUACGGCGCAGAGGCGGUCUUGCCGUCUGACAUACACUUCGGAUCUCCUAGAAUCGAGCACUUCGACCAGGCGACCGCCGACAACGCCAGAGAACUCGAAAUCAAUUGCAUGGAGGAAAAGCGUUUAGUUUCAUGUCUCCGAACAGCAAAAUAUCUCGCGGCAGUCAGGCGAUACUACAACAGGAACGUCAAGGACCGUUCCUUCGUGGUCGGCGAUCUGGUGCUCCGAUGGAAAACAAGCCAGGAGGGAAUGCACAAGUUAUCCACUCCCUGGGAAGGACCCUUCGUCGUGACCGAGGUCACACGACCUACGUCCUACAGAUUGGCAUACCCAGACGGAACACGAGUACCUAACUCUUGGCACAUCGACAAACUGCGACGUUUCUAUCCAUAAAGUUUUAAUGACUUCCUUUUGUAUGUAUCUUAUAAUUUUUGAUAAUAAGAUUCUCUAUUUUUCGCCUAUACCUUGUCAUACACAGCACUCGGCAAAACUCCUGCAAUGGAUGCUCUUGGCGACAACCAAGACAAAUACGGUGACACGUCACUCAGAUAUUGUACAGCGCUCAAAACAACAGUCAUGACAAAAAAAGAAAACUUUAUUACAAACUUUACAUACAAAGUUUACAAUAAAUACCCUGACGGGCAGAUACUAGUCUAUUCCUACAGACUACUUUAUUGGCCUAGCUGCUCGGGCUGAUCACCCGCCUGGCCCUGCUGCCCGGACGAAGGGGUCGGGGCCACCGGCGCCUGGCUGGUCGAGACCGCAGGCGUCGACCGCCCAUCUCCAGCAACGGACGCGCCCGACAACUCCCUGGCCGACCUAUCUGAGCUCGGCUGGUCUGGAGGAGUGGCCGUUCCGCACAGGUUGAUGUCGCCGAUCACUGUCGACGACAAGUCCAGCAGACUACCCCGAAGUUCGUCCGCUUCCUGUGGGCCGACUUCCUUCGGGUACCCCUUCUCCAGCCUGCUCAAGUCGACCAGGGGGUAGUGGGCGCGUACCAUGCUGAGGACGUGCGCGCCGGCAAACUCCCCGGCAUCCUUCACAAACUGCUGGAGCCAGUCCCACGCCCGUUGCGCCUUCUCGACCGGGGUCAACUGCGGCACGCGGGGCUGGCUCUCCGGGAGCUCGGGACUGAUCAGGUCCAGGACCGGGGACACUCCCUUCCAGAUCCUGCAACAGUUGACCUUCCAGGAGUCCCGGUCCUUGAUCAGGUCAUCCAGGUGCUUUUUGGUGUUCACCUUGAGCACUGCAAACGAAACGAAACGUUACUUUCGGCAUACCAGACAAGCAAAGGGGCAGGCAGCAACCAACAAGGCGGCACCCAUUACCAGCUAACUCCCGGUCUUUUCGACCCAAUUCCUCUUCCGCUCGCCGCUCGGACUCCUGUGCACUGGCGAGCUGUUGGCCGAGCUGCUCCUUCUCUUGUUGGAGGCUCGCCACCUCCUCCUCCAAGUCUGCGUGAAUCCUAAACUGGUCAGCAAAGCAAACUAUACAAGUAUGCGAAACUGCUCGGAGCAUGUGACUAACCUUCCUGCAGCCGGUACUGGUCGGCCAGACGACGAGCGAGGUCGAGACGACGCUCCUUUUCGGCGCUCAUCUCGACCACCUUCUCCCCGACCUCCGCCCGCAACCGGUCUACCUCCGCGGCAAGGGCCUUGUUCUCGGCCAUGACACCUUCUAUCUGGUCAAAGCACCGUUUCCGGUACUUUGCCGUUUUCAUUACGUCCUACAAAGCAAGCAUGUAACGAUCAAGCAAGACAAGGCAAAAGAAUGCGCAGUAGCACAAAAGGCCGCUUACCUUGACUUCGUCGACAAGGCGCUUGGCCGCGCGCUCCACCCUGGCGGCCUCUUCGGACUCGGCAAGCUCCUCAUGACCGAUAAAGUGAUCCCCGCGUUGGCGCCACACAUACACGUGUUGGCGGCCAUCACGGGGACGACCCUCGAUCUCUUCCACCUCGUCGUCGGAGGCCGCCCUGGUCUCCUCCUCCUGGGCUGCGUCACCCCCGGUGGUGGUCCCAGGCAUCACUGGCCCUUGGACCAGACCUGGGGAGCCCGCAGCCGGAGAGGCUCCUGCUCGGGGCGGCGUGGGGACUUCACUCCCUCCGGCAGGAGGAGCGGUCGGAGAUCUUCCCUUCUCCGAGGAGUCAGUUGGGGGAGCCUCUCCAGCCCUGGUCGGGGUGCUUGUUGUAGUCGGCGCCGCGCUCGGGAGCCCCUCGGUGCCCCCAGGCGCGACUGCAGCUGUUGCCUGCUCUGUGGUCUGGGGGGCCGCAUCCCCAGAACCGCGGGCAGGCUCGCCCGUUCCCUGGCCGGCAGUUUGGCCAGGGUCGACAUCCGAUGCCGCACUACAGGAACAAAAGUUAAAAAAAAAAAGAGAGGAGUCCAAAAUUCGUAAGUCGAACACUUACAGGUCUGACCGACGAUGGGUCGCGGUAAACCUCCUCCUCGCCCGGCCGGUCGGCGCCUGUGCCCCCACCUCGGCAACCUGCGGGGCAGCGGCGCCGCUGGCCACUCGAUCAGUGGCGACCGGCGCAGUGUCUGGGCGGUUCCGAGGCCGUCGGACCAACGACGGCGCAGCCUCCUCGUCGUCGUCGUCGUCGACGAUCCGCACGAGCCGACGACGCUUCGGCGCUUGGCUGCUCUCCACCGGUAGGUCUGCCGGCAGCUCCGGUGUCGGCAAGGGAUCCGCCGGCAAUGGCCUUUUCCCCGCUACCCUCUCCUCGGAGGUCGGGACGGGGCGGGCUCGGUCUUCCUCACUGCUGGUGUAACGAGUACACCGAGCAGCGUCCUCCUCCGGCGGGACCUCUCCCACAGGAUCUUCCAUUCCCGGUGCCAGUGAUACAUACACUGCGCACCGGUCGACAUCACCGACCUGCAAAAGCAACAGAGAUGAGUUAACUGCAGACGAUAUACGAAUGAUCAAAAAGACUCUGCUACAUACCUUUGGUGCUGGUCGUCCUAACUUGAAGGCUUGCACCCGAUCACUGCCACGGAUGAAGCCCCCAUCUGCGAAGUUGAACAGCUCGUUCAACAGCUGUUGUACCUCCGCUUUCUCCAAGAUCUCCGACCGCAUCCUGGUCGGGUCUGCGCUUCCGGCAUACUCGUACGCCGAGUGCACCCUCUUCUGGCAGGGCAUCACCCGGCGGCAAAUGAAGUUGCCGACCACGCCAAGCCCAUCCAGGCGCGACCAGUCGAUCAGCUUCAUCAGAUCCGCCACUUGACCGUCGAACUCUGGGCGGUCGGUCCAGCUCGACCUCUUCUCGGGAAUGUACCCCACGUCGCAGAACGUGGAGCUGCCCGGUUCCUCCCUGACGUAGAACCACUUCCUGUACCAUUCGGUCAAGAAAGUGUUCCAUGGGCAGUGCAGGUAGCGAUUCUUCAUCCCAUCACGAAGGUUGAGGUAUACUCCACCUGCAACCUUGGAGCCUCCAACUGCUCCCUUCUUCCUCAAGCAGAAAAGGUACCGGAAAAGAUCGAAGUGCGGCUCUAUGCCAACAUAGGCCUCGCACAGAUGGAUGAAGGUGGAAAUAAGGAGAAUUGAGUUCGGGUGCAGAUUGCAAAUCCCGAUCUCAUAGUACAAAAGAAGUCCUUGAAGAAAAGGAUGGACAGGAACACCAAAACCUCUCUUAACGAAAUCUUCAAAAACGACGAUCUCACCGGCGCGAGGGUCGGGGUAGCUCUCCCCCUCCGGUGCCCUCCAGCCGCCGAGCUCUGCGUCGUGCAGAAGCCCCAUAUCGACGAGGUCACCAAGAGAUUUUGUGGUGCUGCGAGACUUCUUCCAUUCCUUGGCCAUCAGUUCGGCCCUCUUCCUGGAGUCGCUCUUCGCCAUUAGAGGUGCGAAUGUGGGUUGGAGUUAGGAAGAUGCAGGAGAUUGGAGAAGAUGAGAGCGGAAGGUUUGAAGGCAAUGGCAGGAGAAGCGGUACAGGCGGUCCUAUUAGGCCCUUAUAAACCCGCGACCCCACCUCUCCCACUUCCUGUAUUCUCGGGAAGUGGGCAGGCCAUGCGGCAGACGCGGCGUUUCGGUUUACAAUGAUUAUAGACAAUUAAUGCGGCGGAGUUUUCGUACCAAUUGAUGGUUUCCUUUUUUCAAACCAUGCAAAGAGCGGUUGUACAGUUGCCAGGUACAGCUUUUCAUGCAUCCGUCUGACAUAUCGUCAGGAGACCCCGUCACGUCAACUUUAAAUUUGAAAGACCUUUUCAAAAGUAAGAAGACACAUACGCCAGUGAGUCAGCAAUCCGGGGACUGCACCGACCACCGAGCACUCGACGCUCGGGGACUGGUUGCCCAGUCUAUCAGCUCGGAACUUCAAGGACUGCACCGACCACCGAGCACUCGACGCUCGGGGACUGGUUGCCCAGUCUAUCAGCUCGGAACUUCAAGGACUGCACCGACCACCGAGCACUCGACGCUCGGGGACUGGUUGCCCAGUCUAUCAGCUCGGAACUUCAAGGACUGCACCGACCACCGAGCACUCGACGCUCGGGGACUGGUUGCCCAGUCUAUCAGCUCGGAACUUCAAGGACUGCACCGACCACCGAGCACUCGACGCUCGGGGACUGGUUGCCCAGUUUAUCAGCUCAAAGCUUUAAAGCAUGCUUAGGAAACUGAGCACUCGAUGCUCGGGGACUGGUCGUACAGUAUAGUAACAUAUAAUUCCAAGCAGCACACUAAGUGCCUGGGACUGGUCGAUUGGUUUUUUCGAUUGCAGACGAGCAUGACAUGCUCGGGGACUGGUAAAUUCAAUUUUUUAGACCUUGCUACAAGGCACAUACUUCGCCUUCCAGCAAGCUCGGGGACUACAUCGGUACGAUGCAUCUAGCGAUGCAUCUCAGUCUCAAAACUACUUUGGGGAAUUUUCUUUUGACCCUGGCACCACGUGCCUACGCCACCUACUACCAGGCUCGGGGACUAAGUGGGCACACUUCACCUAGCGGUGAAUUUGGUUGCUUUUUUGGUACUUCUACCUUUCAAAAAGGCAAAGUGGGCACACUUCACCAGGAAAGAAAUUUUUUUUAGAGCACCAUGCAUUCUUCGAACAACCUGCUUCUUCGAUGUCAACGUUGAUCAACUGUCUUUCGAGUUGGACAAGGAACCGUUGCAACUGCUUGGGCGAUUUCCCCGCUUAUUGAAGACGACAAGCCUCGCUGAUCGAAGAAGCUCAAGACGGCGUGUUGCAUCACAAUACAUGGCGCUCGGGGACUAGCUGUGGGGGUAUAAACCCCUAUACCCUUACGGCUAGACUUCAGCCAGGAAGCUUGACCCACUACGAGACGAGUUCAAGGCUUGAUCCGACAAGCCGAGUUUCGCGCAAGGAAACAAGACGUGGAGAUCAAGCAGGAUUCUAGUCGGUUAGAAUAGGAAUUGAUAUCGAAUUAUCUAUGGCAAUUGUAACCGACUAGGAUUAGUUUCUAGAUCUGUAACCCUGCCCUCCAGACUAUAUAAGGAGGGGCAAGGGACCCCCCUAGGACAGGAUAUUCUCUCAACACAAUCCAAUACAACCAGACGCAGGACGUAGGUAUUACGCCAACUCGGCGGCCGAACCUGGAUAAAAAGCUUGUCCGUGUCUUGCGUCACCAUCGAGUUCGUAGUUUGCGCACCGUCUACCGAUAAACUACUACCGUGGGUAUACCCCAAGGUAGACUGCCGACUAGCUUUCGUCGACAGUCCUUAAAAUCGGAUAUUACAAAUAUAGACAUAAGUGAUGUGCGGAUUUUGCACGAAAAAUGCCGCGAAAAAAGGCGGGCGGGCGCUGGUGGAUGGCUGCCCUCCCCAAAAAAAUUCCCUAUUUUUUGGGUUUUUUAUUUUCAUCUUUGCCGAUUGUCAGGCACUCGCCGAGUGCCUAAUAAAAACACUCGAUAAAGAUCCCUUUGCUGAUCAGAUAUAUGCCGUGUGUGAAAGCCCUAGUUUGGUUUUUGAUAAUUGAUGAAACUCUAGUACUAACCUCUAUACUAAGUGUGUGUAGAUUUAAUGAGGUUGGUACAUGCCAAGUGAUGGAGUACGUGAUGAUCAUGGUGAUGAUGCUGUUGACCACAAGAUGAUCAAGUUCUCAACUUGAAAAAGAAGAAAGAGAAAAACAAAACCCUAUGGAGAUCGAGGCAAAGGUAUUGCUUAGGGUUUUAGUUUUGGUGAUCAAGACACCAUGGACGGUGUGAUCACAUUUAGGAUAGAUAGUUGUACUAUAAAGAGGGGAAUUCUUUGGCUAAGCGGUUAUCAAGUGCCACUAGGUGUCAUUGUUCAUGUGCAUGCAUUUAGAUGCUAGGGAGCUAACUUAACUCCUUCGAAGAAAAUGAUUGUAAAAAUGAUAACACACAUGCACAUGUUGGUACACACACGGUGGUGUUGGCACACUUUAAGAAGGAGGUGGAGUUUGAAGGGUAGAGAGGGGUUUGGGUUUCUCUCUAUUGCGACGUUUUUGAAAAAAUGAAAUGCAUAUUUUCUAUUGCACUGGUGGAAAAAUUGGAGAAGUAGCGGGAGUAUAGAAAAAUACUCAUCGGACGCUGGGUGUGGAAGCAUCGAACGCUGGCCCCAACGUCCGGUGUGUUCUCUGGCUGUGGCUUGGUUGUAGAGUGAGCAUUGGACGCUCAACAUCGGACAUGGGUUGGACACUAUUUGUGCGUCCGGUGCCCCUGCGUGUUUGCAGUGCUCUCUAAGUAAGGGCCCAGUACUGAGGGGAGCGUCCGGUGGUACGUGUUCGGUGACCCCACGGGGAAAACACCCUCUCUGCAUUUGGGUCCAGUGUGCACCGAACGCGACCGGUGCCCUCUUGACCGCAUCUAGUGGUUUGAAAGUGACUGUUAGAGAUCGACACGCGAGAUUCAAACAGGAGACACAUGGCUAUCUUUUGAGCACCGGAUGCAGGGCUCUAACGUCCGUGGCUCACUGACUGUGCGUCCGGUGGCCCCAUAUUCUGUCCAAUGAAAGAGCCAAUGGCUCUAUUUGUUUGAGGGGCUUAUAAAUUAUUGUUGGCCGGUUUGGGGCUCACACACUUGGCAUUCUUGACUACUUGACAUCCUUGUGAGCCUAAGAAAACACAUCUCACUCAUCUCCUUCAUAGAUUAACCAUCUUUGUGAGAUUGUGAGUGAUUCCAAGUGUAUUUGCUUGAGUGAUUGCAUCUAGUGGCACUUGACGAUCAUUUUAGCUGCGGUUUUCUUGUUACUCUUGGUAGUUGCCGCCACCUAGAUGGCUUGGAGCAGCGGAGGAGGAUUGGCAUGAGUUGGUGAUUGCUUGUGGCCAUCUCUCAGUGAUUGUGAGAGGUUUUUUGUACCUUCCCCGGUGGAGAGCGAAAGGUAACUCUAGUGGAUUGCUCAUGUCAUUGAGUUACCUCACUUGUGGGUAGGUUCUUGCGGUGUCCAACUGAGGACGAGGUUCGUGCUACACCUCUUAGCUGCCGAACCACCAAGUGUUGGUCCACACAACGGGGAUGUAGCGUGCCGGCAAGCACGUGAACCUUGGGAGAAAAAUCGAUGUCUCAAUUGUGUUCAUCCCCUAGUGCUUGAUUGUUCAUAUAUUGGUGAUUUGUUCAUCCCCUACACGGCGGUAUAAAUAUCUUAUCCUAUCCAUUUACUUACCACAAAAUAGUGUAAUUAGUUUAGUUGCUUACUUUGCCUUGUAUAGCAUAGUUCACUAGUGUAGCUUGUAGUGACAUAGCUAUUGUGUGCCUAGUGAUCAUAUCAACUAGAUUUGUUAGAUAGGUGGCUUGCAAACACCCCAUUAGAGCUAGAGCAAAAAGCUUCGCUUUGUUAUUUAUUAACCUCUUAUUCUAGUGAGUUUGUAGAAUUUUUAAAUAUACUAUUCGCCCCCUCUAGCCAUAUUAGGAACUUCCAGUGUGCUCUUUGCUGAGUGUGGGACUCGGCAAAGGCUUUGUCGAGUGUAUUUGGGCCUUUGCUUAGUGCCAGAGACACUCGGCAAAGCCCUUGUGUCUGGUCGUGUACGACGAAACACUACCAUCGGCUAUUUGCACGCCAACUUGUUUGCCACAAAUACGAAUUCAAUAGAGCUUGCUUCAAAACGGAUGAUGGCCACAGAGUUAGGUUUGUUUGAAAGAGUGUGACCACUAGUAGACACAUGGGUUGUAAUUCCGGUUGGCAAACCCCUUUAGUUCCGGUAUUCGAAUGCUACAUACCUCCCUCUUGCGUGUGUGAGAUUCGAACUUAAGACCUCUUGUCUCACGCGUAUCUUCCUUACCAACUCAACUGCACACCACAUGUGAUAAUGUUUUGGACACUUCUCCUUUAAAUUCACUCGUGGGGGACCUUUAGUCCCAGGUCAGAGACUUUUAAUCCGGAUUGGUGACUAAAAGUUAGAGGACCUUUAGUCCGGGUUGGUACGUACCGGGACUAAAGGGUGGUUUUUAGUCUCAGUUAGUUACCAACCGGGACUAAAGGUCCCUGCUACAAAAGUCUGUUGCACUAUCUAUUGGACAGGAGAUUCUAGUACCGAUCGGUAGUUUCAAUUGGAACUAAAUCUCUAUUAGUCCCGGGCUUAAUUUAGAGCGGGACUAAAAGUUAAUUACGAUCAAAAGUCUGUUCCCUAGUAGUGGACCUCAAUAGUUCUAGCAAACUACCUGCGAAGUUUUAUUGUACCCUUUUUUAAUUUAUAUCUAAAAAUAAACUGACCUAAAAAUAUUAUCCGAUCAACCUCUUUUGGUGCGCCAGUCCAUAUUUUUGUACGAAGAUAAUGUUGUAGCGCCACAUCUUAUUUGGCGCAAUGCAACAGGAAAGCCAUCCAAGUUGGAUUUUGUCCCGCCUAAAUAAAUUUUUAUUUGAACGUGUUUCAGUAAAGCGAAGUAGUAGGCAGCUGUCUAUGUAACUUGUAUAUGAUUCCUGACAGUGCCAUUUCUCAUGGAAUCUUCAUAAAGGCUGCCUGAAACUUAUUUGUUUUCGUGAUUCUCUUUCUCAUCAGACCAAUAUAUAUACCAUAUAUCACACACUUUUCUGAGAGCGAGCGAACACCAAGUCAUCAAUCAGAAUGAACUUCAGCUAUCAUCUGUCCUACAGGUACUAUGUUGGUUCAAGUAGAUGCGCGCGGAAUUGAUGAUUACCCCAAGGUGCUGAUGAUCAGCAUGAGAAUGAGAGGCUUUGGGGAAAAGAAUAGCACCAACGCCGAAAGCCCUGCCCGACUGCGAUUUCGAUGUAGCUGCAGCUGCAGCUGCGUCACCGCUGCUGGCAAUGCUCCGGACAUCACUGUCGCGGCUGCAUUACUGCUGGAAUUUAAGAAACCAAUAGUGAUAGCCCAUGAAACCACAUCAUUGCCGAUUUUUGGCUAAAACCAGCAGUGAUAAGACCAACCGAAACUGAUGUUCAGGUCUUCACUAUCGGUUCACAUCCCUGUCGGUUUUAGCCACAAACCGUUGGUGAUAUUGGCCAGCACUGUCGGUUUUAGCCAAGAACCGGCACUGAUACUACCACUGUCAGUUGGUGGGUUGAACCGACACUAAUAUGCUAUAAGAAAAUUUCAUAAGUUUCCAUAUGAUGUCCGAGGAAGACGAACUUUAUAUCAAAGUUAUAGUCCUCAACGAGAUCUAUAACCGAAUAGUUAAAAAAAUUUAAAAUUUGAUAUCAGUUUGGAUGUCCAAAUAUUUUCAUAUGAAAUCUGCUAUCUAACAAAUUACAUUUGAUUUCUAAAAUUUAAAAUUUGAAUUUUUGAAAAUAUUUUGGAUGGAGAAACGCCUGAAACAAAAGUUAUAGACCUCAAAAAAUUAUGCAAGUUUGUAGUUGACAGCUUUUUCAUUUGAAAUUAUUUACUACCUCAAAAUGGUAUUUGAAGUUAAAGUUUGAUUGUCGAAGAACUCUUUCAAUCUCUGUUUACAACUUGUAAAUAGUUUAACCCCCUCAUAUUAACUUAAAUUUGAUGAUUUUUUUCCUAAAAAAUUGAUGAAAAAGACAUUUGACACCAAACACGCCAUCUACCUAGGACACACAAUGCUUCAAUUUCAAGACCGAGCAUCCGUAGUGGCCCCGUACAACAUUAAGUAAUUGUGAAUUUGCACACAUCCAAUUAAUAAUUUUAAUACAGAUGCAUCACAAAUUUGAUUUGUGUAGGGACCACUGGAUCUACUUAAUCAUUUAUCCCAGUGAUGGAAGGGUGUUGGUCCUAGACUCUGCAGAUUAUGAGCCUUCAACUUAUGUACCAUUCGUGUCCAUCUUAGAGCGGUAAUCCGAGAUAUGCAUGAAUUCCUUUAUAGAUAAGAGUUUGAGAAUAACUUGGUGAUUCUAUUUGAGAUCAUAGGGCAUCAUAUAGAUGGUAUAAGAUUAAAGGUGGAAUGUACAACACGUCAAAAUAAGAGCAGCCAUUGGAAGUAUUUUAUAAAUGGUUGGUAUGUAUAUAAAUUUAUGAGUAUGUAUUGUUAGGUUGAUCUCCACCAGGUGGGCCCAACGGCCAACUUGGGUCUUGAAAUCGCGCUCUGAUCAGGAGCGUCCAACAAUAGAAGACUGGUGGGCCCCUAUUGCGCAGUGCUAUAAAGAAAAGGUGGGGGGCAGUGACACAUGGGACUGUAACACCCAAAAAUUUGGUUUACAAUUAAUAGGAUUUAAUUAGAUUUAUUUGAUUAUUUUUGUGAGUAUUUGAAUUUAGCAUUUAAAUAAUUUUCGGGAAAUUAAAAUUUAUCAUAAGUUUAGUAACAUGAUUUUGUGCAUUCAUGCUGAGACAUAUUUUAUUUUGUGUUGAUUGUUUUUUGGUUAGAAAUGAAUUGUGCUUUCAAAAUUCUAUUUGGAGAAUGUUUUGGAAAAGAAACCAGAAAAGAAAAGAAGAAAAAAAAGAAGAAACCCCCCCAUGGAAACCAGCCAAGGCCCAGCUUUCCCAUUUCCCCCUUCCCCGGCCCAUUUCCCUUUUCCCCGCGGCCCACGCGCGCACCCUCCCUUUCUCUCUUCUCUGCUGCUGGUGACCGGGACCCAGCGCCCCUUUGGCUGACGCGCGGGACCCACUGCGCAGAGCCCUUCUCCUUCCUUGCCGUAGCCUGGAAGGACUCGGUUGGGAGCAAAACCGAACCGAGCCCAAUCUUCCCAAUCCCGAAAACUUUGAGAUUUUCUUGCCUUUUUGAGCGCUAUAAAGUUCUUUCCCCACCCCGCAACCUCCUUUUGCGUCCCAAUUCCAAAAACCGAGCCCUAGCCGUCCCCGUUUGGCGUUUUGGAUCUCGCCGAAAUUCUCCAUCGCGGCGACUCCUCCCUGCUCCUUCUCGUCUCGAGUAGACCGUCUAGGUGAGUUUGCGAAGUGAUUCUCCAACUCCCGGUGUUUUCCUUUCAAGAAAUGGUGCUCGGAAAGGAGAAGUCGAGGAGCUCCGGCGAGCUUUGGCUCUCCGGCCACGGCGGCCACCGCACCGGAGCCGGCAGCCUGCUGGCCGGACCACCACCUGCGCCUCCUUCGGCUGGAUCAGGACCGUCCGAUCGAAGAUCGACGACCGAUAAUAGAACUUACCCCUUCAGCUGCGAAACUUUAUAAAGCGUCCUUGAACUUUUUCAUAUUUACUCCGCAGUCCCUGGCGGCUUUUGCGGUUUACGCUUUUCGUUUUCAAAAACGUAUUCUCUGCCGGGCCGAGUGAAUUACGCUUUCCAGAAAUUACAGAAAUGCCACUGAUUUGGUUUUGCUCAUAAAAUACUCAUUUUAACUCCGUUUUUGUCCAUUCAAAUUUUGUUAGAUUCGUAUUUACGUGCUCUACAUGUUAGAAGUAUUGUUUACUGUUUUGAAACUUUUUAAUUUCCUGGUACUAUGUAAUUAAUUAUUUCCCUAUGGGAAAUCUUAGAAAAUUCAUACCUUUCACGUCUUAACUCCGAUUUUCGUGAACUUUACGUUUGUGUGAUCGUAGCGCUGCGUAGAAUAUUUUCAUAAACUUAUAUCUUUGUUUUACUACUGUUUGGUGUAUUGUUCUAAUAAUAGUUUGUUUGCUUCGUGUAUGAUUGUCUACAUUGGAUUGCGUGUUGUUGAUUGAUGAUUGGGAAUAGACGGUGAGUCGUACGUUGGUGACCAAGACCAAGCUUUUGAGGACUAGCAGGCUCAGGAGAGCUUUGAGCAAGGCAAGUAUAACUUAGGAUCAUCCUUGUUACCUAUUCACUUAUAAUUACACAUAUAUAUCAUAUGCAUGCUAUCACCGUGUCGACCUUAGCAAAAUCAUAGAUAAUUGUUACCUGUAUUCCUUGCUACCUACUUGUUAUGCAUUUGGUGUAGAUGUGCUAGUGCUUGAUAUAAUCCAUGAUCUUGUAAGAUGAUUAAUAGCUAUACAAUGAACGUUAAAAGAUGACAAAUAACUAUAUGAGAUCUUGUCUGUAAGUGAUCACCGGGACAACAGUGCAACCAUGAGGGCUAUAAUGGCUCUGGCUUUAGCUCAGUAUGAAGACCUUUUCUAGCUUGUUAGAGGUUACCCGAAAGGGCGGAGGGGCUGAACCGACAUGGGUAUAGUGCGGGCCCCUAUCCCUAUGUGUAUAGGCUGCGCGUCAUUGUGCCAUUCGGAAGGGGGGGUAUCUAUAUCUGCUCGCAAAGGAAACCUUAUGGCCCUAACAUGUUAGACGAACUUUUGAAAGGCUUCAUAGUGAUCCCUGCCGACCUUCCUUGGUAGUGGGUUAAGAGGUCGGCGGGCCUCGGGCGAAAGGGUAAAUCAUGACUCAUGGGUAAAGAUGUACAACCUCUGCAGAGUGUUAAAACUAGUAUACUAGCCGUGCUCACGGUUAUGAGCGGCCUUGGGGGUUCUUGCUGCGACGACGAUGAGCUUAUUAAGUUGUUAUGUUCACUUGAUUAUCGUUUAUGCUAUGGAUUAAUUAUGCUUACACUUGAUCAUGGGAUUAAUGGAUUAUUUAUGCUACAUUGACAAUUGCUAUUUAAUUAUGAAUAUGCUAUCCACUAUUAAAAGCUAAACGCAGUCAAACCAGUGUCAGCUAUUUGAGCCUCAUGAACCCCUGGUUAUAUUUGUUGAGUACGAUAUGUGCUCACUCUUGCAAUUUCCCAACACCUCAGGAUAUGAUAAUGAAGAUGACUGGAAUGAGGAUUAUCGUUAUGAGUACUAGGUUUGGAGUCAACCAGUCAGCAAUGUCCCUGUGUGGAGCUUCCGUCGAGAGCGUGGUUUACUUUAUGCUAUCGUUUUUGUAUGAGACUAUGUGAUAUAUUAUAUUCCGCUAUGUAAUAAACACUGCAAUGGUACAUUUGAGAUUUGUCUGCUUAUGUGUGCGACUGUUUCUGGGGCACAUAUUAGUCUUUUAUGCAUCCUAUUUUUGUUCUUAAAAUAUGGGUGUGACAGGGACAAAGUUCACUACCGCCAUUACAGUACCCCACAAAAAAACCCCCUAAGCCGAUCCAGAGGGAGGCACUGCCAGUGAUGGGAAGUCCGCUGCUGCCACUGCCUCAACCGUGAGCUCCUCCAUCAACCAGGGUCGUCGAUAACAUCUUCUCUCUCAACCUCCCUCUCCCUCUUUCUCUGAAUUGUGCAAUGGUUUAUUCUUUGUAUCAAAUAGAAAAGCAAACACCCACUUAUAUCUACACCCUAGACGAUAUAAAGGAUAUGACACAUAUCAUAUAUAUAUAAUACAUAGGACAAUGUUGCAACUAAAUAACCACUUGCCUGUUAUAUGGUGCCAAAAGCAACCAACCGGAUCGGUCCACUGUGGAUUCUAUAUGUGCAAGUUUAUGAGAGAGAACAAACGAUACAUCAAGAACCCUAAGAAGGUAAUAUAAGUAAUAGUCUCUGUCAUUAAAGUUGUAAAUGUAUUAUCAGGUGUAAAUAUAUGAUGUUUAUAAUCUUCCUUUGCUGGCAUAACGUGUUUUAAUUAUCAGUGAAGCGAGUAGUAGGCAGCUGUCUAUGUAACUUGUAUAUGAUUCCUGACAGCGCCGUUUCUGCUGGAAACUUCAUAAAGGCUGCCUGAGACUUAUUCAAUUUCGUGAUUCUCUUUUUCAUCAGACCAAUAUAUAUACCAUAUAUCACACACUUUUCUGAGAGCGAGCGAACACCAAGUCAUCAAUCAGAAUGAACUUCAGCUAUCAUCUGUCCUACAGGUACUAUGUUGGUUCAAGUUGAUGCGCGCGGAAUUCAUGAUUACCCCAAGGUGCUGAUGAUCAGCAUGAGAAUGAGAGGCUUUGGGGGAAAGAAUAGCACCAACGCUGAAAGGCCUGCCCGGCUGCGCUUUUGAUGUAGCUGCAGCCGCAGCUGUGUCACCAUCACUGGCAAUGCUCCGGUUCCUGAAGAAGCUGCACCCAUGCCUGAAGAACUGGUUCAGGUAUCUGACGUAUCUGAAGAUGGCAUGUCAGGGAAGGGAAGGCCGCAAUGGCUAGGAAGGAGACUUGUCAAUCCUGUCGGCCCAUAUGGGUGAACUAAAGUCUGGCCUUGCAGGAACCAAUACAGUGGUGAAGCCUGCAGGGCAGCUAGAAUGCAUGAUGCUGGAGGAGUCGUGCUUGUCGAAGGGGAACUCAGACAUUAUGGGUUACUGAUGCUUCUCAAGCCUAUAUAUGUCUUUAUAGAUAAUAUCAUGCUCUUGCUGCAUUUUGCUUCAUCAUUUCCCAAUUCCCAGACAACAUAAUGUGCAGUGCUUUGGCUUGUGGUAUCCUAACUAUCCUAGAACUACAGUACUGGUGCUUCAGCUUGUACAUGGCAAUCUAUACUCAUGGCUAGCCCAUAAACCAAUUAUUGUUUGUACUAUAAACACUUAUGAAAGUAAAUAGUGUUAUCUAAUAAUAAAUAGGAAUGACUUGCCCAUAACCAAUGUAUUUUUAUAGGCAUGACUGGCCCAUAACUUUUUCGUGCCACAUACAUUUGGCAUGAUAGAUGGGUCACACUGGUGAGGUGUGCUAACUAGGUGGGCCAUCUGUUGCGCCAUUAGGAUUCGCGUGACAGGUUGCCGCCAACACUUCUCGAUGUAUUUUUUCUCCUUUAAACAAAUUAGUAAUCGAACUAUAAAUCUCACGAAAAUUGACGUGUGUGCUAUACAUAGUGUAGACGUAUUUUGGUGAUAUACAUGAUUCUAAGUGCUACAUAUUUGGAAAUAUAUAGUUCCAAAAUAGCCCUUGCUAUGAAGAGAGCACUUGGAGUUCCAAGUCUUCAAGUUAAAAAUAAUCCAAUCUGCUCUCUUUUUUCGCUCAAAGAUAAUUACUUAGUGACCAUCAAAAUUUUUUAUACUUUGAUAGGGUGGCAUCAUGAUAUGUAGAUGUUCCAUUUUAACUCUUACUACAGCAUGAACUGUUGUGAAAUUGAAGUUAAUUUCAAAUUAGGCCAAAAAAUAUGUCUGGUCACCACAACUUUUUGGGCCUUGGAUUAUUUAAUUUCAAUGUCGUAUAUAGGUCAUGUGCUACCGCUACAAUGAAAUGUUGAUUUUUUUUAGAAAUGGGUUGCACUUUUAGAACAACUAAGGCCUCAUUUAUUUGCUCAGAAUUCAAUCCCGAAGCUGAUUUUUCAUCCAGCCUAAGAAUGACUGGAUCCAUGCCUGUCACUCAUUCCAGCCCAAGAUGAAGCUAACCAGAUGGUUGGAGGUCACGUUCUAUUGCGGGCCAUAGAGACAGUGAAAAGCGAAGCCAGUUUUCAUUUCGGCCCAAUUUUGAUUCCACAUCGAGCCGAAACAAACACACAUUUUCAUUCACAUCCGAAUUAAAAACAGGCCGCGGCAAUCCACCGGGAAUGGGCCUAGGAACGGGCCAAUCUGGCCAAAACAAACAAGGCCUAAAUAAAUUAGAACUCAAAUUUGGUUAAAAACCUGCUAGAUAUGAACAAUAAGGCAUGUACAUUCCAUUUUGCAGUGGCUGGGGCUCGAGAGCUCUAGCCCAGUCAGUCGAGAGAAGGUGACAUUAUUUACUCUAGUUGGUUAGGUUUAAUGCACAUAUAUUGAAAUGGUAUUGGAAUGUGAAUGUGUUGGUGUUUGAACGGCAAAACUUUAUAUAUAUGGUUAAGUGUACAUGUGCAAUGCAAAGUUUUCUUCACUACACCACAACACUGAGAUUAGCUAUUGGACAAUCUGACACUAAAAACUUAUAGCGUCAGAUUUUUACAGACCCUGUAUGUCCUAACACUAAAACUCUUUAGCGACAGAUAAUACUUUUAGUGAAAGAUAAUCUAUUGCUCUAAAUAUUUAUAGCAACAGACUUCCUGCUGCUACUCUUUAGUGACAGACUGCCCGCUGCUACUCUAGUGACAGAUCAUUUGAAGCUACAUAUAGUUUUAGCAACAGAUGGUCCAACAAUAUAGUUUUAAGUGGUUAAAAAAUAAAAAUUGAUCGGUCAACAAUUAUUACAAAUGUCACACUAAGCUUCAAAAGUUCAUUCAGCAGAUAAACAACUAGAAUUCAACUUCACUAAGAUACAUGCAUUUACACAAAUUUAACCAAAUGUUUACGGUAGCUCACAUAGGUAAGCUCCACAUCACAUCCACUUUCCACUAGAGACAAAAAGAACAUCCUCCAAAACCAUCCAUGCCAAUCUUGUUGUGGAAGCAUGUGCCUUGUGCUACUAAAAGUAGUGAUUGCGACUAAAACAAUAAGAAAGUAUAUGCGUUAAUUUAGCAUAAAAUAGAAAAUCAGAGUAUGAAUGCAAAAGAAAGUAAAGCAUUAAUAAUUGACAAAUUUAGAAAAUGGAAACAUAGUUUGCAUAUUGAGCAUGGCAUAAUACGCUAAAGCCGAUAAUUGCAGAUCACACAAGUAUAUCAGCUACACAAGCAGAUCAGCCACUUAAUUAAUUUCGCCUAUGUGACAGGAAUAUUAGUUCAGUCAGAUUAAUAGUUUGCAUAUUGAGGAUUAUUAGUUCAGUGAGACUACAUAUCACACAAGCAGAUCAGCCACUUAAUUAAUGUUAUUAUUUUGCAUCAAAACAUGUCGUGUUCUCAAAUAAGAUCAGCCACGCACCCUUCGACAGAAUAGCGAUGCCAUCCAGUCCUUCAGCAAGGCAGAGGAGCUCCAGUCCUACACGAGCUCGCCUCUUCAGAAUUGUUCGCUCUUGUUACCUUUUUGCAAUGCUCACGAUCGGGGAAAUUACUCUGUUGUUGGUUGCGUGGCGGCAAUGAUUUUGAAAUUCUUCAUGUAGGCACCGCAUUCUGAAAAAUCUAAGAAUUAUUUCUUUGUGGUUUUUUUCCAUGUUCGUUUCGCCCCAGGAUUCCAGCGAGGCUGAAACUCCAACCUUCAGCAGAAUGCGAAACUAAGAAGGAAAUCCAUCAGCCCAGGAGCGAGACACCGAACUCCCUGAAGAAAGAGGCAGCUGCUUAUUGUUCUUCACGGAUCCUUUAUUUUGUUCUACCCUAGCGCUCAGUGGCCUGCCUGAAAGAAAAGCUCUGAUCCAACGCAAAAGUGUGCUUGAUCACAUCACAAUGUUGUAGAUAACAUCAUUUAGUGCUCCAUGCAUGCGACCAAAGAUUCGAUGUGAUGGAGAAUCUUGAAAAUUUUUGCGAACUAAACAAGGCCUGAACCUGAAGUUGUUUCUUGCUCUGUUUUUUUCUUUUUACAAAGAUAUUUUCUUGCUCGGUUUCUUGGACUGACAUGAUGCGCACAGCCGGAAGUCGUAUGCGUUUGCCGCACCGUUUGGUGUGUGAAUGCAUUUUUAUUUCCUUUUUUCUCUUAUUUUUUGUUUUCUUUUGGAAAUUUUCUUCUCUAAAGAAGAAAGCUAAAAACCAAAAUACAAAAGAUACAGGCCCACAGGAUAUACAUAUAAAUAUACAGCUACCUUGUUAAGAUUAAGUUUCCAUACAUUUAAACUGGUCCAUAGAAUUCUAUUUCUAUGGGUUUGUUGACACCUGUUAACUUACAAAAUUUGUUAGCAUUUAUUUCUCCACCAGACAUGAAUAUCUACAAGAAUAGGGUUAUCACUGACAAUUUCUACGAGUUUUGUAUAUUCUGUGUUCUCGAGAGAUUAUUUCAGAAAGAGCUGAAAAGAGUGAUUUAAGUGUUAAUCGGCCACGAAACUUAUCCGCUACGGGAGGAUGACAGUGGUAGUCCGCGUAGGUGACUUUAUAGCUGCGUUGAUUCCUCUGUAGUCCACUUCCCGUUGAUAGGAUUGAUAGGCUUAUAGGUGCCUGAUAGGGGAUUACUCUGAUUCAAUUCUUUCCCUAUUCGGGUUACUUGCCCGAUAAGACGAUACUAUACAAAGUUUACUGGUUAUUGGAACCAGAGUACAUUUGUAUUUCCUCAUCAUCAAUAGUUUUCUAGAUUGAUUGUACCCCCUUAGAUUAAGAAUUAUAGGCUAGGUCAUAAAUCACCUACUGUUCUUUUGGGUUCUAUAUUAAAACCGGAUUGAUAUUGGCACUACAAGAAAUCUGUCAUCUUUUGACAUUUAACAUUAGUCAUAAUACAUGGAAAAUAAGUCACAAGUUGUCAUUUGUGACAACAAGUUGACAAAAAUUGAAAUGUCAAAAGAUGACUGUCUUUAAUGACCACUUAUGACUUUUAGUGGGCAAAGUCAUAGCAUUAUGACUUUGAUUUUGAAAGUCACAAACACUUAUGACAACUGAUUUAAAGUCAUAAGUUUCUUGAAGCUCGCCACAUAAUUAUAUAUAAUUUUAAUUUCAUAUUAACCAGAUUUCAUGCCUAAUAAAUAUCCAUAACAGGUCACGUUAUUCAUCAACCACAUAAUGUAAACCAUAGCUGCCCACAACACUCAUCAACCAUAUAAGAUAAGUUAUCUCAAGUUUUCAUUCAAGCCAACAUUACCAAGUCUGCUCGCACAAUUCAUGACAAGUCACCAUUAUACAAGGAACAACACACAUACAAUCUAGCUAAGUCAAAUGGCAGGCACAGGUCAUAUAUUGGCGUGAACAAUCUAACUAGCUAGAUUCACUACAAAAUGCCUCAUCUCCAUCUUAUCAAAAGAAAAAUGUCAUAUGUUUCCUUCCUCCAAGGCCUCCCUCAACCUGUAACAUCAAGAUGGCAUAGAAAAAAUUUUAGCAAGAAAAUGAAUACACAUGUAUCUAUAUUUGUGUAUCCCUGAAAACAGCUAGCUGAAAAUUAGACUAGCAAAAUGAUUUGCAUACAAUACACCACAAUUUGCAUACUAAUUGUUCCUUUUUUUUGCAUUCACUGACAAUUGCAGUUUAUUUACUCAAAAAAUUAGAAUCCAUAACAAAUUUUCUAAGGAUCAAUCUAAGUUUCAUGUAAGACAUCAAGCAGAUUUCAAUAUGAAAUAAAAAUAUAUAUCAUAAGCAACGACUAGGGAAACAGAAACCUACCAAUACAAACAAGUAGAGCUGCUGCCAAGAGCACAUUCAAAUGCCUUCCCAAGGUGUCCAAUUACACGUAGAGCAGCUGCAAUUACAAUAUGAUGAUGUCAGACUUGGCUGGUAUAUAUCAACAAGUUCAGAGAAAAUUGGUACACGACAUAGUAUAAAAUUGGUACACCAUGGUGAAGUGUUGAUCAGUAUAUAUGUGUGCGCUUGAGGAUAAUCUGAUUAUAAACAUUAUUAGGGUGCAGUUAAUUUAUACCAACAGGGUUCCUAAUGCUAAAAAACAAAAUACAAAAAUAUAUAGGCCCACGUAUACAAACUAAUUCAUACACCUAUUUAACACAUUUAAAAUAAAAUAGAUUCUAACGAGAUUAAAGUGCAUUAGGUAUCAAAUUUUAGGUAUGGAAAACCUGGGUUGAGGUGGGGCACGCAAGGUCAGCAGGGCCUAUUUUCUUUAGAAAUAGACAGAUUGAUGGUAUGUUUGGCUUUAGCAAUAGGCAGUUCAACGUUAAAUAUCAAUAUCUACAGCGGCAUACAAUAAAUGGCUAAAUGAGGAAUUAGCGACAGAUGAUUUGUGAGUUAUCUUUAGCGACAGAUCAUCUAUCGAUAAAUAUAAUUUUUAGUGACAGAUGGCUUACGGUGAUGCGAUGUUGGUGUAGAUGGACAAAAACUAUUGGCAUUGCAUCAUGCUGGUAGUCACAUGAAAACCUAAGUCUUCGUUUUGAGUGAAUACUUUUUUUUUAGAUAAAGGAUAAAAUCCGGCUUCAUCUAUCCGUAGAUAGAAUCAGACCUACAACACCAACUGACCCAAAUCCGGCUGAAUAAACAGCUUGACCAAACGACCACUGGAAUAAGAAAAGGUUUUGACUAAAUGUAACCAACAUGUCUGUGUGCAAGCCAACCAUUGGAACUAAAAACCGCUAAAGCCGACAUCUCUAGGUGAACUGCUACUGAAAGGAGCUGCUCCUUCAGGCCUUCACGCCGUUGUAAGUUCGCCCAUUGACGCAGCCAGUGAGUUCCUCUGAAGAGUACCUGCAAAAG
rnacentral:lncRNA from 1 species